rnacentral:lncRNA from 1 species
CCUCCUAAAGUGUGGGGGUGAGAAGGUAUAGUUUUAAUUGUUGUUUUUCCUCUGAUAUAGCUCUGUUAGUAUGAAUUUUGUAGUAAAAAUAGGCGUUAAAUUUUUUUUUUUCUGAGGUAAUUCUUGUUUAGUUUUAGUCUGUUUGAAUUGGUAAAUACUUAGCUUAGGUAGUAUAAAUAGCUAUUUUUGUUUCAGUAUAGAGAGUAUUAGUUCUAGUUUGUUGGUGAUACUGUUAUAACAUGUUUUAGAAGUAGAUUUUUAGAAUUCUAUAUUUCAUGUUCUUGUUUUAGCUUCUGUAUAGUUUUGUUGCACAUAUUAAUAGUAUUGUUGUAGUUUUAGUAACUGGUUUAGCUUGCUUAUUCUGCUGCAACCUUAGUUUUAUCAUUUGCCUAAGGUUUUCUUCCCUUACAGAUUCUGUUUAGGAAUUUUAUAAGUUCUUUGUUUUUCAAUCUGUUUUAGAUAGUUUCUAGUGUUGUUUAGGAUAAAUUCUUUGAACAGUUUUUGUAAAUAGAACUAAGUAGAUGUUUCUUUCUUUUGAAUUUUUGUUUUAGCUUUCUUUACUAGAUUCAUGUUCUGUUUUAAAUUUUACUAGUUGGUCUUAGCUGCUUAUAAUUUCUAGCCUCUUUUUAGCUUUUAAAUAGAAACUUCUUUAGGAUUCUUGUUGUUUCUAGGCCCUGUUUGAGUUUUCAUUAGGAAUUUAUUAGGCUUAUUUUGUUCAUAGUUUCUAUACUCGUUUUAGGUCUGUUUCUAUUUUUACUUCCUUGAUCUAGGUUUUGUUUCAGUUUCCAAAUAGGUUUUGUUCUAAACUUUCUGUUUCUAGGUUCUGUUAGCUUCGUAGGUUUUCUUCUCCAUUCAUUGUUACUGUUUAGGAUUUCUUUUAGGCUUUCUUUCUUUUAAAUGAAUUUGUUCUAGUUUAGCCUAGGUUCUUUCAGUACAUAGGAUACUUUUAGCUUGUACAGGUUGUGUGUAGUUUAGGUCAUUCUUUUAGGUUCUGUCUUGUGCUCUUAUUCAUCCUUUGCUAUUUUAAUGAAUUUCUCAGUUUCAUUUUUGUAAAUUAGAACUGCUAAUGUAAUUCUUUGCUUUAUAUUCAAGUAGAAGUAGUCCUAGCUUUGGUUUUUGCAUCUGAGUUUAGUUUAAUUAAGGCAUUUUUGCAUAAAAGAGGGUAGCAUAUCAGUUUUGGCACUUUAUUAACCUGGAGAGAUUUUGGGCCAAUUUUUUUGUCUUUCUUGUGUGAUUUCAUGCAUGUUUGAUUUUCAUUCUGAUUUUGCAUUGAUUCUUUGUGAAAAGCUUGCUCUUAGUGGACUCUAGACAUGAUUUAGGCAUUGUUUCUUGCCAUCCAUAACCAUUUAGUUUUAUCAUUUCAGUUCUGACCAUUGUACCUUAACUUUGAGCCUUAGCCAUUUUCUUUGUUUCCAUUCAGUACAAGCCAUUUUUCACCCCAUCAUUACCCAACUUGUAGAAAUCUGAGAGGGAUGGAGGAUGUAGGAACUCAGUGAGUGCAAAAGAGAAAAAGAAAGGCCAAGAAGAAAAAAAAAAACAAAUCUGGUUGUGAUAAAAAGAAAAGAAAAGAGCGGGUCUGGAAAAGAGAAAAAUAGCAAAAGAAUGAAAAAUGAGACCUGACAGUGUGUGAAAACCAGAUUGAAAGAAAAAGAAAUUGGAUUGGCCAAUAGUGAAACAUAAGAGUGCACUGAGUUCUGAGUUCUUCCCUCUUGUUCACAGUUUCUUCAUUUCCAUUUAGCCUUGUAUUUUCUAACCUUUCAUACCAUUACAUUACAAGCCAACAAAGUCCUUUUGAUCUUGAUGAAACCAUGAGCUGAGCACUAUCACUUAGAGUCCUUUCAAAGUUAAGAAUAGAGGUUGACAUGUGAUGAAGGAGUGAAACAGGAUGAGCCUAAACACUUGAGUGAAUAUGAGUGUAAACACUUCCAGUGAGGCUGAAACUGACUUACGCUUUUCUGAUUAUGUUCCUUGCUGAAUUUGGCUGAAUUAAGUUGUUUUAUCACUUGCUGGAUUGCUGAUACUGGUGUUUAAAGUUGAGAAUUAUGAUUGUGCAGUUUUUGCUUGAAUGAUAUGGCUGAGAAAUGAAUGAACUGGCAGGAUUAGAUAAGCUGUGAAUAGAUCCAAUGUUUUUAAGUUUUGUUGGGAAUCUUUCAUUGUGUAGUUUGAGUCUUUGGUCUUUGUUUUGAUUUCAGUUUUCCCUGCCCAGGAGGGCAGUUCCUAAAGUGUGCGGGUGUGAUAACUCUCAAAUUUUCCUUAUUUUUCUAGUCUUAGAAGUUUAUUAUAAUACAUUUUAGUUUCUUAUUCUAUAGAAUUAGGUUAGUUUAGUAUUUUUUUUCUUUAAAUUUAGAGUUUUGUCAAAAUAGUGUUAAUUUUGCCUUUUUAGUUAAAUAAAAUAGGUUUUUAAAUAAAUAGAUAUUUUUCCUUUUUAGAAACAAAUAUUUUGAGAAUGAAAAUAAAAAUUUCUUUUGUUGUUAUAGACUUUUAGUUUUUUUUGUUGUUUAUUUUUUUUCGUUAUUUCUUUUUGCAGUAUUAAACCUGAUCCAAGGGGGCCACAAAUCUGGCCAAGGNUGGUGCUGAAAUGGGCCGAAGUAAUAUGGCCAGUGCUUAUGAACUAAAGCCAUUUUGGGUAGCAGAUUAAUGAAAGGAUGCGUUCAAGCAGCUGUGUGUUUACUGAAGGAGUAUACCCGUGAAGAGGGUUUCAUUUCUCCAAAUUAGAAGCAAUUGGAGCUAGGGCUCACAAAGAAGAUUUUCCCCAAAUUCUCUAAACUCUCAAUCUAGGGUUCGUGGUCCAGCAAGAGGGGAUCAGUCCGAUGAAGCAAAUCCAAAGAACGACAGCCCAAAAAGGGGAACAACCCAAGAUGUUGAUCGGUCAGAAUGGAGGUUGGAAGCACGUGCUAAGCUUGAACGGUUUGAGAACCUGGUCAGAGUCAGUUGAAGGAUAUUCAAGAAGCUUCCAAGUUUGUUUCAGAUUCUUUCCCCUUUUCCCCAUCUUUUCAUCUUUUCUAUUUAUGUUUUCUCCUAUAUAAAGGAGUCUUGUAAAAUAGAAUAGGUACGUGCACUGGGUGACAGGCAGUGUGCUUAGUUUAGAUUUUCAAAUUCUCUCGCCUUAGUUUUAGAAUUUAUCAGCUUUUGUAGAGUAAAUACACUGUUCUUCGAUUUUGGAUUUCAUCGAGAUGCGAGGGUGACAGGCCGUGAUUUUCGGUGAUUUCUGGUAUCUUGUAUUUUGAUUUCAGCUUUCAAUAAAAUUUCUCUUUUUGAUGUGUUUCUUUCUACAUUCUUCAUUGUUAUGGUUUCAAUUUACUCUUUUGCCAAUUUAAUUUCAAGUCUUGUUAGUUUAGGAUUCUUAUCUCUUACCUUUAUGUUUCUCGUGCCCAAUUCAAUUAGUUUCUCUGCACUUUAAGUUUUUUAUGUUAGUAGUUGUUGUCUUUGGUUAAAGCUAUAAUUCUGAGUUAGAUAUGCAUAGGAUUAGAUGAUUGAAUGAGAAUUACCAUCUUAAGUUCUAUGAACUAAAAAGACCCCAAAGAGGGCUUGACUUCUCAAAAUGUCUUUCUGAGAGUAAUUGAGAUUCUUUUGUCCAGCCUAAUGCACAUUUGUCUCUAAAUUUUGCUUUUACCUAAGGUUCUUAUUUUGUUAUUAGGAUUUUUAGUAUUUCUGAUUGAUUGGAUUUUAGGUUCGUUUAGUUUAGAUGUUGAAUUCCCUUAUUUUCUUUUAUUCGUUUCUGAUACUUGAAGAUUCAAAUUCCUUGCAUUUAGUUUUUUGUUUCUUUCUAGGUCAUGUAUAUGAUAGUGUGAAUUGGUUGAUCAUAUUUUUCAUGCAUUCAGAGUAUAUGUUUUCUUUGCAUUCAUUUACAGUAUUCAAUUUUACUUUCUUUUGCAUAUUUUAGUCAUAUCAUUCAUAGGUUUAGGUCUUGUUAUUGCAUUGCAGUAGUGUUCAUCACUUUGGGUUUUUCAUAAAUGGAUAGUUUUUCAUUAUAGUAUAGAUACCAUUCUAAUUCUGUUUUAGUAUAAUCAUUCCUUCAUAUUAUUUCUUUUAUUUUUAAAUUUCAUUUUAUUUUCCCCACCUAGUUUUAGUUUUGUUUUUUUUUUAAUAAUAAGGUUUUAAUUCUACAAUUCUAUCUUAAUAAGUACCAAGUCCUUUGAUUAGACCCUAGGUUGCCCCUAUACUACAUUAUUGGGGAAUUUAGGUUUGUUGAGCUUUAAUGCGACUAAAAAGCUUUUCAACACACUUGUUUGGAAUCAAAAUCUAAAUCAAUGCCUCAUGGACUUUACACUCCUUUGCAUGUUGCUUCCACCCCUUGGGAAGAAAUUAGUAUGGAUUUUGUAUUAGGACUUCCUAAGACUGCUAGGGGUUUUGAUUCUAUAUUUGUGGUAAUGGACAAAUUUAGCAAAAUGGCUCAUUUUAUACCUUGCCACAAAAUAGAUGAUGCAAGCAACAUUGCAAAGCUAUUCUUUAGAGAUGUGGUUAAACAUCAUGGUGUACCUAAAGUCAUAAUUUCGGAUAGAGAUACUAAAUUUCUUAGUCACUUUUGGAGAACCUUAUGGUCUCGACUAGGGACUAAGUUAUCUUUUUCUACUACUUGCCAUCCUCAAACAGAUGGUCAAACCGAAGUAGUAAAUAGAUCUCUCUCCACAUUAUUAAGGGUAGUUCUAAAGGGAAAUCACAAAUCUUGGGAUGAGUACCUUCCUCAUGUAGAGUUUGCUUACAAUACAGUAGUUCAUGGAACUACUAAAAUUUCUCCUUUUGAAGUUGUCUAUGGUUUCAACCCUUUAACACCUAUGGAUUUAAUAUCUCUUCCAACUUCUUUUGAUUUUGUUCAUCAAGAAGAGGUAUCUAAAUCUAAGUUUAUCAAAGAAUUACAUCAAAGGGUUCGUGAUCAAAUUCAACAACAAAAUGAGAAAUAUGCCAAAAAGCAUAAUAAAGGAAAAAAAGAGUUGAUCUUCAAUGAAGGUGAUCUAGUUUGGAUACAUCUUAGGAAGGAAAGGUUUCCUCAACUAAGAAAAUCCAAACUCAAUCCUCGAGGAGAUGGACCUUUUAGAGUGAUACGGCAGAUAAAUAACAAUGCUUAUCAAAUAGAUCUUCCGCCAUCUUAUGGAGUCCAUUCUACCUUUAAUGUAUCUGACUUAAACCUUUUGCAGGUUAUGAUUCUGAUCAAGAAAGGGGGAAAAGGUGGCAAGAAAAACAAAGAUUCACUGGACCAGCAAGGUGAAGAGUCCAGUGAACCUGGAAAGACGAAAAAUCAGAAGAAGGGUGACUGGAAAUUUGACAAAAAGAAGGUAAAUGUUAUAAUUGUCAAAAGCUUGGUCAUUUUGCCAAGGAUUGUUGGAGUGGUGAAGGUGCCAAAAAAAAAAACGCAGAAAAGGGCUAAUCUAGCCCAAGAGGAGGAAUCAGAUGAGGAAGUAGUGAUGUUGAUGGCUAGAACAGAAGAAGACUUGUCAGAAGAUGAUGUGUGGUAUCUUGUCUCUGGGUGUUCUACCCAUAUGACAGGUAGAAAAGAUUGGUUUGUGGGAAUCAAGGAGGCUGCACAGGGAAAAAUCCAGUUAGCUGAUGACAGAAGAAUGAAAGCAGAUGGGUCAGGCAGGGUUGUUCUGAGAGAUGCAGGGGGAAAAUAAGUAGUAAUUGAGGAGGUACUGUAUGUACCAGGGCUGAAAUCAAACUUGUAGAGCUUGGGACAGCUACUGUAGAAGGGGUAUGUGAUGAAAAUAGAUAAUGAAUGUCUCAGCAUUUUUAAUCAACAGAAAAAGAUGGUAGUACAGGCCCAGUUGUCACAGAAUCGUACUUUUAGAGUGGUGAUGAGUGUAGUAAAGCACCAAUGCUUAGGAUGAAUGGGUUUGGCAUUUGCGGUUUAGGCACUUGAACUUUAAGGAUUUGUCUCUGUUAGGACAGAAGAAGAUGGUGAAUGGGUUGCCUAAGGUUGAAAUUCCAGACACAGUGUGCAAGGAGUGUGUCUAAUGCAAGCAGACAAGGGGCAGGAAGAGUACAACAGGGUAUAUUUUCUUUGUUGAUGGAUCUCCUAUUUCCUGGAGUUCUAGAAAAGAAUCAGUGGUGGCAUUGUCAUCGUGUGAGGCAGAGUACAUAGCUGCCUGUGAAGCUACACGUCAAGCUGUUUGGCUGGAAUUCCUGUUGAAAGGGCUGAAGGUGGAAUUGGCUGAAAAGGUAAGGUUUCUUGUUGACAACAAGUCUGCCAUUGACUUAGCUAAGCAUCCUGCAUCUCACGGCAGGAGCAAGCACAUUGAGACCAGAUUUCAUUACAUCAGAGAACAGGUCAGCAGUGGAAGGUUGGAGGUGAUACACUACAGAUCCAAAGACCAGUUAGCAGAUGUUCUCACCAAAGCUCUCAAAGGCGAACGCUUUCUGACACUCAGAAAGCAUAUCGGUAUUUUUCGAGUGGAGAUCGGUGAUAUCAGUGAAGAUCGCACCAGGAGGAGGGCAAAAACCUAAGGUUUUUGCCGGAUCAAGUGAGAUCGGGCCGGAACAGUGAAGAUCGGCCAAGAAGAAGGGUUUUUCUCCGAUUUAAUCGGUGAAAAAUGGUUUCAAGCUCAAAAGGAGACGUUUUUACCGAUUUUAAUCGGUGGAAAACACUCAAAAUCGAAGGAGGAGUUGUUUUUACUGAUUGUUUUUUUAGAAAAACUUGUUCGUGUAGUGUUUUUGUUUAGGAGGAGUGUUGAGAGUAAACAAAAACGCACAGUUUUCAGUUCAUGUUCAGAUCAUAUAAAUACUGUAAACAUGUUCAUUUUUAAUAAGAUUCACAGAGUAUUAUACAGUACCUUUUGCUUUCUCUGUUCUCCGUGUUGUGCUGUUACCUUUCAUUCUGUGAGUGGCGUGCUUUCCCGUCGGUGGUCAGUGGUGGUGUGCUGGAGGAACCCUAGCAGAGAGCGUGUCUCUGCGUCUCACUCUAGAAACUUCAAGUCUACAUUUUCUCUUUCCUGGCACGUGGAGUUUCUGCAUUAUCAUAUCAAAAGUUUGGUUUGGGUGUUUUACGUUUUUAUCCUCGAUGUUAAUAGGCUGCACAUGGUAAUAAGUUGCAGAUUGGCUAGUUGGAUCAGAACUAAAAUUGGAUUCCAAAUUAGUGAUACGUAUUGUUUUGAGAGCAGCUGCCUUAGGGGGUCUUUACUUUGGCAAUUCAUUUGGUAGAGAAGAGGAUAUUCUCUCGAACAUUUGAGAAGAAAGAAAACCUUCAGAGCUCAGGUAGAGCGAGAAGAGAGCUGACUUCUGCGAACCCGCUCGAAGAUGGAAGAUGUUGACCGUGAAGAGGAUCAAAUGGCUGGAAAAGAAGAAAGGUUGAUCGUCCGUUGAGAAGUGAAGUGUGAAUCAUCCAAGCUGCGAAGGUUCCUUUUCCCAUUUCCCUCUUUCGUUUUUCACCCUAUAAAAAGGGGUUUUACCAUGUAAACAUUUUUUUAGACUUUCACAGAGACAAGACACGGAUAUUUCCAUUUUACGUUUUUAGUAGAUAGAGCGACGCGAGUUCUAGGAUUUUAUCGCGUUUUCGGUGGCUUCGACUUUGUUGCAUUCUCGCUCGCCUUUUGUUCGGUAUAUUCUCGUGUAAUCCUUGUUUUCUUGUGAAUAAAAUUUCUUCUGUGAUGUUUCCAUGUGAUGAGCAUUUGAUAAUUUUGUUGUGUUGAUUUUUUCCUUAAUUCCGUUUUUCUUGAUUGAUGAUGUGAGAGUCGUUUCUUGUUUUGAUUUAAGAAAAUUUUGAUUUGGACUUUGUAACUCUACAGUUAAAAUUCCUUAAGGAAUUACAUGACUCCACAGUAAGCAUGACUUUUCGAGAUGUCUUCUCGAGUUGGAGAUGAGUCCAAUCAAAGAAAAAUCUGAUUUAGACUAUGUGACUCCACACAUUAAGAAUUCCUUAGGGAUUUGCACGACUCCACAGUGAGCAUGACUUACCGAGAUGUCUUCUCGAGUUUGGAGAUGAGUCUAAUGAAGAAAAAAAUAUUAUAAUUCAUGUUUUGUUUCUGUCAUUUUAUUUUAGUUAGAGUUUUGUAUUUGGUGAUGAUUAGAAACUUGACUUAGGAGUUGAAUUUGUUGUGAUUUGGUAUAGUAAGUAGACAUUUACCCAAUCUAGGUUCUGAUUUGGAACAUAAAUACCACACAGUAGGUAUAAUUAUCCAUGAUGUCUUCUUGAGUGGUAAAUGACUACUUUUCUACACUAAUUUUGGCACUUUUGAUUCUGAUUCAUGGUUUUAAUCAACCAAUCUGUUUCUACUCAUUAGCUUAGGUGUUUUAGGUUAUAAUGUUAAAAUUUUGCUUCUGCUUUAAUGUCUUGACCAUUUCUUUUGAUAUUUUGCUGAUUGUAUUGUAAAUUUUGUUCCUUAGAUUUUGAUUUCUUAUUCAUUGUUUUACUUCCAGUUCAUUUCAUUGUUCAUUCUCUCUUACUUUCAUUUUAAACAGAUUUGAUUUCUUUUUUCUUUAAAUUUUCUUUUCCCUACCUGUUUAGUAGUUAGUAAAUAGUGAAUAAAUACAAGAUUAAACUUUACACUUUAGACUUAAUUAUAGUUGAGUCCUUAGAUUGAUACCUAGGUUGUCCCUAUACUUCAUUAGUAGAGAAAUUUAGUUUUUCUGAUUUUAGGCAACAAAAACCAGUUUAACAGCUAUUUAUUGAUAUAUUUUAAAUUAUUAAUUUAAAAAAAUAAAAUUAAAUAGUUAUAGAUAUCGCUUAUUUAAAAAAGCGCUAUCUAUUGUUAUAGUUAUAGAUAGCGCUUGUUUAAAUUAGCGCUAUCUAUUGUUCCGCACAUUAAUAGAUAGCGCUUAAUGAAAAAAGCGCUAUCUUUUGAGCGCUAUUUAUAUCUAAUUUUGUAGUAGUGAUUCUUUGCACAAGAUAGGAUUAGUUGAUCCAAAGAUAAUGUCAUCAACAUAAAUUUUAACAUAGAGCUUAUCUUUAUUUGAAUUUUUAAUGAAGAGAGUUGAGUCAACUUUACCCCUGAAGAAUCCCUUCUUUAACAGAAAUUCACUUAAGCGCUCAUACCAUGACCAUGGUGCUUGCUUCAACCCAUACAAAGCCUUUUUGAGCUUGUAGACAUAAUCUGGAUGUUCAAAAUCCUCAAAUCUUGGUGGCUAUUCCACAUAAACUUCCUCCUUAAUAUAUCCAUUUAAGAAAGCACUCUUGACAUCCAUUUUUAUAGCUUGAAUUUCAUCACAGAAGCAAUAGCAAGAAGAAUUCUUAUUAUCUCCAGUCUAGCCACAAGUGCAUAUGUUUCAUCAUAAUCGAUUCCUUCCUCUUGGCAGUAGCCUUUCGCAACUUCUAACUUUGUUUUUUAUGAUUUUACCUGAAUCAUCCAUCUUAUUUCUGAAAACCCAUUUUGUGCCUAUGACCUAUAGGUAAUUUGUUCUUGGUACUAGCUCCCACACAUUAUUCCUUUUAAACUGAUUUAGUUCAUCUUGCAUGGCCAUCAUCCAAUUCUCAUCUGCAAGUGCAUCUUCAACCCUUUUUGGCUCAAUUUUGGAAACAUAAGAAACAUUCAUGCAAAAUUGAUUAAGUUGUCUUCUGGUUGAAACCCCUCUCAUGAUAUCACCAAUUAUGUUGUCUGUUGAGACAUUUUUAGAACUCUCCAUUCUUUAAUCGGUUAUGUUCUAGGAGAAUCGAGUACAUUUUAAGAGUUUUCUUCUUCAGGAUUUUCCUCAUUUUCUUCUUCUUCUCCAGUAGAGUUAUCAGCUUCAAUAGACUUCCUAGUCAAUUCAAGAUUAACCACAGUUUCAAUAUACUCAUCAAAAGCAACGUGAAUAGAUUCUUCAACGCACAUUGUUCUUUUGUUAUAUACCCCAUACGCUUUGCUUCUAAGUGAGUGUCCUAUGAAAAUUGCUUCAUCAACCUUAGAGUCAAACAUUCCAAGGUUUUCCUUUCCAUUGUUUAAUACAAAACAUUUGCAUCCGAAGAUCCUUAGAUGAUAAAUGUUUGGCUUUCUUCCUUUGAAUAUCUCAUAUGGAGUCAGCUUCAUAAUUGAUCUUAUCACAGUUCUAUUCAACACAUAACAUGUUGUACUUACUACAUUUGCCCAGAAAUACUUUGGCAUGUUCCUCUCAUUCAGCAUGGUUCUUGUUAACUCUUCCAAUGCCCUAUUCUUUCUUUCAACCACUUCAUUUUGCUGAGGUGUUUCUUGGAGCAGAGAAGUUGUGAGAUAUUCCCAUUUUAGCAUAAUAUUCAUAGAAAGCUUCAUUCUGAAAUUCUUUACCAUGAUCACUUCUAAUCGAUUUGAUUAUAAGUUCCUUCUCAUUUUGAAUAAUCGCAGCAAACUUUUUGAACACUUUGAAUGUGUCACUCUUGGCAGGGAUGAAGAAAGUCCAAGUAAAGCGAGAAUAGUCAUCCACGAUUACUAGGCCAUAAGAAUUUCCACCUAGACUUUUUACCCUUGAGGCGUCGAAUAAAUCCAUGUGAAGGAGUUCUAGAGGUCUGGUAGUUGACAUCUCCCUCUUGUUCUUGAAGGACUGCCUUGUUUGUUUUUCCUUUUGACAUGCAUCACAUAGUCUCUCAGAAGCAUAGUGAAUGUUGGGAAGGCCAAUGACAAGAUCCUUGGAUACUAGCUUAUUCAGUUGGCCCAUGUUAAUGUGAGCAAGUCUCUUAUGCCACAAUCAAGAAUCAUCUUCUUUAGUCAAAAGACAGACAACAAACUUGAAUGACGUUUCUUUGAAAUCGAUUAUGUAGAUAUUAUUAUGCCUUUUUCCCACAAGUAACAAUUCAUCGGUCGAACUGUUACAACCCCUCUGUGCUAGACAUAUGGAACUCCCCUAUGAGCUUGGGUAUCCAAGCUGACUUCCCAGAUAGCAUUAACCUCCCUUCAACGGGUAACCCCAGUUCCUCCACUAAUCCACGACCAAUGAAAUUGUGGCUAGCGCCACUGCCUAUGAGUAUCAACAUUGUCUUCUCCCCUACUCUCCCCUGCAACUUCAUUGUCUUAGGUUGGGUGAGUCCUCUAGUCGAAAAGGCUGAUAACUCCAUUUAUCUUUGAUCAACCUCAACCACCUCCUCUUCAACGUCCUCCCCUUCGUCCUCUGCUAGUAUCACCACUCUCAAACUCCUCUCCAGGUAGUGGUGUUUGAAAGGUCCCCCACACCUAAAGCAAUGCUCGUCCUCCCUUCGCUUCAAAAAUUAUGGGUAAGGCAGAUUUUGAACGUUUCUUCCCCUGAUGGCACUUCCCACAGUGUUCCCGCCUUCGCCCCACCGCCCUCAGUAUUUCCUCCUUCUUCACCGAACACACACUCUCCAUCGCUCCUGAUCUUCCUUGGUUACUUCUAUUUGGCUCAGUUCGCAUCACCAUCCCUCCUCCCACCGUCGAACGCCCCCAAGAAGUUGUGUUCUCGGACGCAAUCUAGCUACUCCCCUUCGCGCCUCAUUGAGCUUCCUCCACAUCACGCAUUAUUCUCAUGGCUGCCAUCAGUUCUUGCAGGUUGUGCAGUCUUAUCUAACACUACAGUUCCUCCUGCAACUCAGCCAGAAAUUAUCCUAACAAUUGUUCAUCAAAAACCGCCUUUGUCUGUCGUACUAACACCGCUAAGUCUUGCAAAUACUCUUCCACGGUCCCAGUUUGUUUUGUCGCCGUUAAUCGCUCGAAAAUUUCACCUAUGUUUCUGCCUCCAAACAUGAUGACCAUCGCUUCUUUCAACCCCUCCCAAGAUCGAUUCCUAGCCUUCUCUUUCUAGAAUUUGAACCAAUAUCCAGGACUCCCUUCCAUACUGAUAUACGCCAAUUGCACAUUUUCUAUUUCUGACACCCCUUGAAUUUCAAAGAAUUUUUCAGUCCUGUUUAUCCAAUUUAGUGGUUCCGCCCCUUCGAAAAUAGGUAAAUCCAUCCAUUUGUCUAGUUCAUCCUCCCAUCACUCUCAUUAAUUCUUGCAAAUCUUUGCGCAUGGCCGCCGAAUCUUGACGCAUUGCCACUGCCUCUUGGCGCAUCACCACCAUUUAUGCCUUCAAGUUGUCCAUUGCAAUCUCCAUAUUUUCCAACUGUCCCUCCACUACAUUCAAGCGUCCACCAAUUCUUCCCUCCAUGACGUUCUUCUCGCCUCAAUUGGAUCCGGCAGGUCGGACCAAUUAGUAGAAUUCUAGGAAGGAAACCUAAACAAAACUAGCCUCACACACUCACAAAACAAUUAUUCACAUUGAAAAUAAUAUGUUUUUGUAUUUAAUCUUCAAAGAAAACAAGUACAAUCAGUAUCCAGGGGCCUAAUCCCCUUCCUCAUGACAAUGGGUCCUGUAACUAUCAAAUGAAAAUUACUCAACAACCUAUUCACAAUACCGAACUCCCCUUUUAUACCAACUCUCACUUUCCGCCUUACCUAACUUCUAAACAGUUAGGUAAUUAAUUCUUUCUCCUCCUCUCAUACACUCUUCAUUCCUUAACACCCAUAUUUAAACAACUGUCAUCCUGGGCAGGGACAAAUAAAGAGAAAGAGAAAAAGAAAAAGAAAAGACUCAAUUUACAAAAGAAAAGACUAAAUACAAACCAAGGAACUUCUAAAUUCUAUUUUGGCUAACUCAAACCUGCCAAAACAAACAAUUCCUAGCUAUUUACUUAAAUCAGAACUGCACAAAAGUAAUUUCAACUUUAAACUCAAGCUUCAAUAAUUCUAGCAAGUACUAUAACAGCUUAAUUCAAUCAAGGUCAACAAAGAAAACAUUUGGAAAAGUAGCAGUCAGUCUCAACCUCACAAGAUGUAGUGUAUGCACUCAAAUUCACUCAAGUGUUUAGAGUUGUCCUGUUUCACUCAAUCAUGUCAUGCCAACUACCAUUCUCAACUUUGAAAAGACUCUAAAUGACAAUGCUUGACUCAAGGCUUCUCUAAAUCACUAGGUCUUUAUUUGGCUUGUAAUGUACAUGGAAUGGAUUGAAAUGGAAACUAAAAGAGAGGAAACUAGAAUGAACAGAGAAGUGUGAAGAAAUGGGAGAAAACUAGAACUCAGGACAUAAUCUUUCUCUUAAGCUUUGACCAGAUGGAUUUUUCUUUCUUUCUCUCUGGUUCUCUUUAUUUUUCACUCAUUUAAAGUCUUUAUGUUAUUUUAUUUUCUGAUCUUUCUUAAUUCCAGACUUAUUUCUUUCUUUUUUUUAAUCAACUAGAUUUUUCAAAACAUUUUUUUCUUUUCGUUUUCACCUUUGGCCUUAUUCUCUUUUUCAUGCACUCAUCAACUUCUAGACUUCUCCCUAUAUCUCACAAGUCUCUAAGGAAUGAUUGGUUGGGGAAAGGCUUGAAAUAGAUGGAAAACAAAGAAAAUAGGCUAAAGCUCAAACGAGGGUGCAAUGGUAAGAAAUGAAAUGGUUAAGCUAAAUUGGAAAAAUGAAGGAUGCCUAGAUCAUAUUUAAAGUUACCAAGAGCAAGCAUGUCACAGAGAAUCAAUGCAAAAUUAGAAUGAUAACUAAACAUGCAUGUUAUCACACAAGAAGGAAAAAAAUGGCCCAAAAUCUCUCAAGGGUUAAAAAUUUGUUAAAACUGACUUGUUACUCAUCCUAUGCAAAAAUUGCUUAAUUGAAAUGAACUCAAGCUGCAAAAACCAAUGCUAGAGCUACCUCAGCCUAAAUCCAAAGCUAAAUCUACUCUUGACAACUCUAAUCUAAGAAAAUGAAGCUAAGAAAUCAUAUGAAUCAGCAAGGAAUGAAGAAAACCCUAAAACAAAACCUAAAAGCUCCUAAGAAUGCUUAAACAGAAUUACCUAAGUUGUAUACAAUCUACACAGACUAAAAAAAACAGUUUGCAACCUAAAUAGCUGCUAAUUAAAGCUUCUACGAAGGAAAGACAAUAAAAGGGAAAACAAAUGACCCUAAACAAAGAAGCAACAAAAUAUCUCAAACAAUGAACCUAAACCAAUCAGAACAUAAUUGUAAGAAAGAAGAACUUAAAGGGAGUUUUAAGCAAAGACUAAAACAGAACCUAAACAAUGAAAAGAAAUCUUAAAACCAGCAAAUCCUAAAGAAUUGAAAAGAAAUUAAAACAACUACUAAUUAAAGACUAAAACAAUUCAUGGAACUAAAAUGAGGACUAAAAGAGAUCAAUAAAAUAAACUAAAGAAGAGAAAAUAGAAAAUAGGAAAAGAAAGGAAUCCUAAAAGAAGUUCUAACAAAAUCAAUGCAAGUAAAAGAACAUAAGCUAAAAAUGAAUGAAUGAACUUUAAAGACCUAAGAACUAUUGUCAGAAAAGCUACAAAUUAAACUAAUUCUUAUUUACAAACUAAAAUAGAUUAUGAAAGUAACAAGAAGUAUGUAUUUACAUAUUAGAGGAAGAAUGUUAAACUACAUUAGGUAUUUAUAAACCAAACCAGACCUAAACUAAAGGAAAAAUAGUUCAGAAAAAAAAAAUUAACCCUAUUUUAUUGCUAAACAAAUACUAAACAGAUCUAUAUUUAUAUCAAAACAAAAUAAAAAAUAAACUUAUACUUUCCUACCCCACACUUAAGAGGCACAUUUUCCUCAAUGUGUGAGUGGGUAAGGAUCCUAAAUAGGAGAGAACAAAACAGAUAUGCACAAACAGAAUUAAAAAUGGAUAUAUACAAGUAUUAAAAGCACAAAUGGAACAAAGAAUAUGUAUAGCAUAACCAUAAAAAAACAGAAUAUAAAAUGUACAUGAACAGGAAUAGAAACUGAAAAUGAAAAACUAGAACAGAAAGCUUAUUCUGAUGCUCUGUGUGUUGCUUGGUGCUCCCUUUGGGUUUACAACUGGCUAAACAGGGAUGCCUCCAGCUUUCUCAUUCACUAGCUCAUUCACAGCAUGAGCCAGUUGUCCAAUCUGCAUCUUCAGAUCUUGAAUGAUUGUCUCCAGAGUUGGGUCUAUCCUAGGCUGAGCUUGUGUUUCGCUAUGAUGUUGUUGCCUAUAAUGCUGAUUAUUCCCAUCAUAUGAAGUUGCAUUUUCCUAACAUGCUGAGCAUACUGGUUCAUAUUCUACACCAGCCCAUUUGACUACUGUCCACUCUGCUGAUUGUAUGGAGGAGCUUCAUAUUUUGGUUUCAUCAUGUUCCUCCAUCCUGAAUUUUGUGAGUUGGAAGCUUGGUUAAAGUGUUGUUGUUGAUUCUGGGUCUACCAUGGCUGUUGAUUCUGCCUGAAGUUCCCUACUGGCUCUAUCUUAGAUUUGAGCAAAUUGGUCUGUAAAGUCUUAAUCUGAAUCACACAGUCCGCAAUGCUUCCUCACUGCAUUCACUUGGCCUCCUAAAGCCAUUUGCCUCAUCAGCUCAAUAAGCUCCAAGGUUUUGUUUCCAAGCAGCAAGUUGUUCCCAGUAUACAUGUUAGUCCUCACUGAAUCUGAGAUUGCAUUCAGUUGCAUCUCAUGGACCCCUUUGUUGUUGCAACUCCUAGUAUACGUUUGCUGAUAAUUCCCAGCCAUAUUGGCAAUGAGACUCCUUGUUGCAGAGGGUGUUUUGUCCAUUAGUGUCCCUCCACUUGUAGCAUCUAUCAUAUUCCUUUCUUGAGGCAGCAGGCCCUUAGAGAAAUAUUGCAGUAGCAGCUGCUCAUUUAUCUGGUGGUUGGGGCAGGUGGAGCACAACCUGUUGAAGCGUUCCCAAUAUUCAAUUCUCUCUAGUCAGCUCUCUUAUUCCAUUAAUUUCCUUUCUCACAGCUGUUGUCCUAAAAGGAGGAAAAAAUCUCUCCAGGAACUUCCUCUUCAUCUCACCCUAGUUGGUGCUUUGCAUCUAGGGGAACAACCACUCUUUAGCAGCAUCUUGCAAAGAGAAAGGAAAAGCCUUCAUCUUAAUAAUUUACUUAGGGUCUUCCAAAGGCUUCAUGGUGGAGCAGACAAUUGUAAACUCCAUAAUGUGCUUGCGAGGAUCCUCCCCUGCUGACCCAUGGAAUCUAGGUAGGAGCUGUAUAAACCCAGACCUCAAAUCAAGUUUGGAGCUCCCUGUACAUGUGGCACUUGGAUACACAGGGGCUGGAAUCCAAUUUCUUGAUUUGCCAGCUCCUUCAAUGUUCUCUCCCUUUGUCCAGCAGCCAUGUCUUCAGUUUCUAAAGAGUUUGAUAAGAAUUCAAAUGAUGGGGAAUUGAUCUAGUAGCCUCAGAUUCACUCUGGUUCCUCUCCUUCUUAAUCCCCUUCCUAGUUAUACCAAUUUUUGGGUCCAUAUCAAACAAAGGGCUUUGAUUGGCCUUGGUCAUAAACUUUCACUCUCACAACCGGAUGAACACCCAUUAGUUUAUAGAUUCUAUUAAAUGAUACCAUUAUGCAUUUAUUAGAUUCUAUUUGAUAUUAUUGUUCAUAUGAACAGUAAUCUAGUUUUAGGGCUCCUAAUUUUAGGGCUUUUCUAUUUGUGUGUUACCGGAACCCUAUAUAAGGGAUUCCAGCCUUUGUAAUAAAAGAAGAAACAUGAGAAGAGCGCUUCUUUCCAAAAACAAACUGAAAUUUAUAAAUGGAGAAAUUAAAAGGCCUAAAAGGGAUAAUAGUCUCUUUGAGUCUUGGGAGAGAAGCAACAUGAUGGUGCUAUCUUGGAUCAUCAAAACUCUUUCCUCUCAAAUAGCAGAGAGUGUGAUAUAUGUCGAGAAUGCUCAAGAACUUUGGGAGGAAUUAAAAGAACGAUUUUCCAAAGGGGACCACUUCAAAUAAGGGCCACCUCUAUACUGUGGGAAGAAUUGGAAUUUCUCAGACCUAUUCCUAGUUGUAGCUGCAAAAUUCCUUGUAGCCGUGAUUUAUCUAAGGCUUCACACAGAUACAGAGACAUGGAGCAUGUCAUAUGCUUUCUGAAGGGCCUGAAUGAUUGUUAUAAUACCGUCAAAACUCAAAUACUGUUUAUGGAACCUCUACCCAACAUUAAUCGUGUGUUUUCACUCAUCAUACAAUAAGAAAGACAAAGUUCUAAUCAGAGUGAUAACAAAAUACUGGCCAGCACCACAGAGAAACAGAAUCAAUGGAAAAAUAAUCAAGGGUGGAGAGGUUAUGGACGAGGAAAUCCACCCAGAAGUCAAGGAAGAGGGAGAGGAAGAAAUCCCAAUUAUGGGAAACAAUGUUCUCACUGCCACAAAAUGAAUCACGCCAUAGAUGAAUGUUAUUCCAAACAUGGGUUUCCACCAUGGUACAAGAGAAAUGAUAACAACAGUGAAAAUGGUACUGGACAAAAUGAAUAGGGUUCAGCCAAUGUUUGCUCAACAUCUGCUGGAACUCAGGCUGCUCAGCAAAGCACGGUUCAAAGUUCUUUCACACAGGAACAAAUGCAGAAAAUACUUCAAUUACUUGAAAAGGCCGAUAGUCCAUCACACAACAUCAACCAAAUACAAAAUGGCAGCACAGAGGACACACAAGGUAUGUUAUCUUUGACUAUAGAUACAGGGGCCACUGAUCAUGUGACCCAUGACAAGAAUCAAUUUACUGCUUUCUAUAAGAUCACUCACAUAUCUGUUAAACUGCCUAAUAGUUCUGUUGUCACUGCUCAUUAUGCGGGACUAUACAUUUCUCUAAAGAUUUUAUGAUUUUUAAUGUUUUAUGCAUACCUGAAGUCACCUUUAAUCUCAUAUAUGUUUAAAGCCUAACUAGAGAUAUAAACUGUACCCUAACUUUCUCUUCUAAGAUGUGUGAAAUUCAGGAAAAUUCUACAUUGAAGAUGAUUGGAUAUGCUAGUGUGUGCAAAGGACUUUACCACCUACAACCUUUUGGAAGAAAUCUGAAUACCAGUUGUACUUUCUCUUAUGAAAAUGAAAACGUAAAUCUAUGGCAUUGUAGAAUAGGCCAUCCUGGACACAAAAUUGUUGAAAAAUUGUGUAAAACUUUUCCUUACAUUCAAACUGCUAUAGAUAAUGCUUGUGAUAUUUGCCACUAUGCUAAGCAACACAAAUUACCUUUUCCCAAGAGUAAUUCGUUAUCUACUAAUUGUUUUGACAUGAUUCACUGUGAUAUUUGGGGUCCUAUCUCUAUUCCCUCUAUACAUGGACAUAGAUACUUUCUCACUAUUGUUGAUGACUAUAGUAGGCACACUUGGGCCUUUCUCAUGCAUAAUAAGGGCCAAACCAGGGAACUCCUACAUGCUUUUAUCAUAAAAAUCAAGACUCAAUUUAAUAAAAUCAUUAAGGUGGUUAGGACUGAUAAUGGUCCGGAAUUUAAUUGCAUCAAUACCUAUAAUUUUCAUGGAAUUGAACAUCAAAAGAGUUGUGUUGAAACCCCACAGCAAAAUUCUGUUGUGGAAAGGAAACAUCAACACAUAUUGAUGACUUGGGCCCAAGCCCAAUUUCCUUAGUCUAGUAUUUCUUUUACUUGUAAUAGACAUGUGUACAAUGUGUUAGGCAUGUGGUACAUUUAGACCUAUAUAUAGGCAUGCUAACACAUCUUGUAAUCACUUUUUGAGAUAAUUGAAUUGUUUAUUGUUGAGAAUUACUCCAGAGCAAUUCUACCUUGAAAGUCAAGGCUAGAGAAUCCCAAAGGAUCUCCUCUAGCCACCUUCCAUCUCAUACUUACCAUUCUCUCAUUUUCCACCAUCAUUUUCUCACUCUGCCACCGUGACAUCCAUUCUCCAAUCCUUUUCAGCCGCGUGGCGCUACUCCGUACUGCCACACCAGGGUUUUCCAUAGCGUCAUACUUCAUCUCCGCAAUUCAUUUCACAUUCAGCAUUUUUCUCUCUCGAAGCUUCAGAACGUAGGGUUCCUCUUCAAGAGUUCUCCAGCCACAGAUCCAUCGUCGUCCACCAACUAUUUCCUAUUUCCUCUCCAGGUAAUCACCGAUUACACCAUAUCCUCUCGAACCACCGGUCACUUCUCCGGUCUACCUAAUCUUCACCGAUCAAACCGAAAAUCCUUACAUUUGCUCCGAUUAAACCACAGCCUUGCUCUCUUCCACCGAUUCAAUCGGUGAGAUCUUACUCUUCCACCGUUUAAAUCCUUUUUACAUUGAACCUUAACCUUUCACCGAUUGAACCACAAACCUAGGGUUCGUAGUCUUCUUCUUGAGUCUUCUGCUGCGUCUUCUACGUCCAAGUCAUAAUUUCCUCUGUUUCUCGAGUUCGUCAGUUGGUCCGUCUCAGAUCCAUGGAUCCUCGCCAGAGUGAUCUGUAUCAUGUGGUAAUCAGAGUUGUGGUUCUCUUCCUCGGGUUAGGCACGCUUCAAAGCUAAGUAUCUCGAUCUCUGUUUUUUUUUGCUUUCUCUGUUUCAGUGUUGUCGUGAUUCUUGUUCAAUGUGAUUCGUGUUUCUGUUUCGGUCAUUGUCUCUGAUUUGUUUUGUCUGAGUUCUUUGAUUCUGAGUUUUUAUUUAGCUUCCGCAUUGUUCAUCAUUUCCUUUAAUGUCUUGAUCUGUUUGUAUUGUCUUUUCUGUUGAGUUUUGUGUUUUUGUUGUUCAUGAAUAUCUUCAUAUCUGUGUUAGGUCUUCAAAUUGCUUGAUUUAUGCUUGUUGUUCCUUGAGUCAGUGUUAUGUUCAUUUUAUUCGGUCAUAUUUUUGUUUGAGUCAUUUCAUUUGAGCAUCAUUUUCUGUCUUGUCUUUAGUCUUGUGCAUUUGAUUAAUUGUCAAGAACUCUGGUUUUAAACCGUGUGAUGCUGUUUCAUUUUGAUCUCGAAUCCUACCAUAACAUCUGCACAAUUGAUGAGCGAUGACAUUAUAGAGCUCAAGUGCGUGAAAUGAUGUUGAUCAUGUCAGAAUUGGAUGGUUGAUUCUGUUUUACCAUCUAGCAGUCACUGUUUAUUGGAUAAUUGUGUGUCUGACUUGCUAUUUUGGAGAUGUAUCAAUGUUUACUUAAAACUAAUCCAGAAUGAACACCAUAUGAGCAUGAAAUUGCUUUGGCAAUUGGCUUGGUGAUAGACUGGAAAUUCAGAGUGCAUUGGCAAUUGACCGAACUGCAUAUUUCCUUGCUUGAGUCAUUUAUUUGCUUUCUUCAUCUGUGUUAGAGCUAUCUAUAGGUUCUGUUUGAGUGCUCACGUUCUUCCAAGCUUUAUUUCUUGCUUGUCUUGAUUGUUAAAUCUGGUUUUGUUCAUCACAAGUGCAUACUGUUCUGCUGUUCUUAAUUUGAAGUUUUUCUUUGCUUUCAUAAUCUGAUCUAGAGCCUCUUAAGUUGUCUACUGUGUUGUUCUGUUAGUCUCCAUUAUCUGGUGCAUCCUUUUGUUGUGGCUGUCAUUGUUUUGUUCUGUUUUGUUCUACCUACACUUUCCUUUUCCUAGCCAUUCUUUUUGUUUGAGAAUCUGAUGUUAUUCUGGAAAUGGGAAGAAAGGUAUUUGUGAAUGGUAGCCUCCUAGGUGGUGGAGAUCCACAGGAUUAUCUGGCUUUGACUGAAAUUUCUUCUUAAGCCUACCCUUGAGUGUGUAAAAUGUGAGAGUGAACCCUUGAGGGAUGUGAGUUUUGUAAGGCUGACUUUAGCCUGAUUUCUUUGGCCAUUUGAGAGAGAUAAAUCAGUUUUCAUCUAACUGUAUUGAUAUCUGUUUUGGUGACUGUUCAUUGUGCAGGAAAAGCAGUUUGAUUAAUCACAUUGGAGCAGCUGUUUUCUAAUCUAUCUUAAUUUCUCUUGCAUUCAUUUUGGAAUUUAAAUUGUUUGCGGAAUCACUAUUAUCAUAACUGUUUUUGAAAGUGAUUGUUGAAUUCAUGGUUGAAUGAAUUUGUUGAAACCUGUGUUGAGUCUCAAUUAGAACUAUCACUUCCUUCUUUGUGAAAUUGUCAGUCAAAUUGCAUCAAGAAAAACAGUUUCCUCGAAUUGGUUAAAAGUAGAUUUCAGUUUGGUUCAAAGUGUUUGAUUGCAUACCUUUGCAUGCCACUUAGCUAGUUGAACGUGAACUGGUUUGUGCAUAAGUUGAUUCGUUUGGAGUACUCAAGCUUGUGAGUCAAUUCGUUCCUCAAUUUCCCUGCAUUGUAUCAGUUUCUAAAAAUUGUUUCUGCACUUAAAUCUAAGCCUGUCUGUGGCUACCUAUUAAUUUCAAUCUGCCAAUGUUAUCAUUUGAUGUAUCUGCUGUUUUUGGGAUUAGCUCUGCAGGUCUGAUUUAAUUGGUGUCAUAUCGAUAGUGCAACAGUUUACAAGAAUGCAGUGUAGGAUGUUUACAAGUAAAGAAUGGAGCUGCUGAUUAGUUGGAGCAGGCUAGGAGCCGUCUUCUGAACAAAAGGGAGUGUUAGAGUCAUUGUUUGAUUUGUCUUAAAUUGAUGUCUUUGUGUGAAUGGCAAAUUGUAUGGAUUGGGUAAACUGCUGAUUUAGUUGAAAAUUCUGUGUGGCAUGUGUGACAGAUUGUAAUUUGAGAGCAAAGCAAUUAUUUGAGCUGCAUCAAGGGCACGAGACAAAGUGACACGAAUGGACCCAGAGAGCUUUGUAAUAUGGACCGAGAGAGUUGGUUACAGGAGCUAGCAUAGACCACUGUCCAGAAUACAACAUUGACCAAGUGAAGCAAGACUGGACCGUACAGCAAGAUUUGGGCCGUAGCAUAGGAAUUAAUGUCUUUGUAAUUUAUUUAUUUUUUUGUGUAUUUGAUGGGCCUGUGUCAGCCCAAUGUCACUGUUAGCUAUAGCUCUUGUUUGUAAAAGGCCUUUAUAAAGUCCAAGUUUGGAAGAGUCCUUGGUACUCUUUCAAAUCUUGGAAACUUUUUCUUGUUUGUUUUCUUUAAAUUUUAGCUAGACAUAGGAGUAGAAUUUGAUUGUCUUUGCAUGUGUUUGAUUUUCACGUGUAGGUGUGACCUUUGUCACAUUAAAGUCCGAACGUAUUAGGGGUCUUAGAGUCCGUUUUCAUUGUUUGUUUCUUUUGAGUCUUGUACUUUGAUUUUAAAAGUAAUUUUACUUUAAAGGAUGUCUAGGAUUAGUGAUUCUGAGAAGCAAUAUAUUCUUAGGAAACUAAUGCAACAAAUUGGGAAUAUUAAAGAGAGCUUGAAUCAAGAUAGGCUUAAUAGGGAGGUGCANACCUCAUUCAUUCAAAGUGAAAUUAGAGCCAUAAAAGAAGAACAAAAGAAACAAAGAAAAGAAUUGCUGAGACAAAUAAUUCACAAUGGUAAAUCAUUCAUUCGAAAUAUAAGUAAAUUUUGGCAUCAAGAAAGAGAAUUUAGAGAUCAACUUAUGACUUUCUUGAAUGAGGGAAGUAAAAGAAGCAUUGAGAGAGAACGUAGAGUACUACAAGAGAAAAUAGAAAGACAAGAGAGAAGAAAAGAGAGAAAAAGAGAGGAAGAAAGAAGAAGAGAAAGAGAGAGAAGAAGAGAACAAGUGAGAAUAGAAGAGGAAGAAAGAGAGAGAAGAGAACGAGUGAAGAGAGAUAAGGAAGAAAAAAUAGAGCAACAUAGGACAGAAGAGGAAGAAAAAAAGAGAAUAAGAAGAGAGAAAGAAAAGAGAGAAGAGGAAGAAAAGCGAGAGAAGGAAGAGAGACUACAAAAGAAAGAGAAGGAAGAACUUGAAAGGAAGGAAAGGGAAGAAAAGGAAUUUCUGACAAUAUCUCCUAAUCUAGAACCCAAAAUGGGAGGUUUUCUAUCCUUUAACUUUCCUUCAAUUGAAAUUACAUGUUCCAAAUUCAUCUUUUCUUUCCAAAACAUUGUCAUCACAUCUUUUCAAAAAUUGUAAUUUUUAGCAUAUGGCAAUCAAAAUCUUGAGUUAAAGUUACCUUUUUGGUUAUCACUACCUCAAGACAAAAAGUUUUCAAAUGAAGAAUGGUUUCUUUGUAAUCAACAUAUUGAAAAUUUUAAAAUUAAGAAACCUUCUUCUACAAAUAUUCUUUUAUAUACUUUGGGUCAUAAAAAACUAAUUAGUGUUAUGUUUGAUGCUUAUUGCAGAUUUACUUUUGAUCCAGGAGGAGUUUAUAGAGAGUCAACUAAAAAUAAGUCCUCAGGAGAACCAUCAAGAUUUGAGGACAAAUCCUUUCCAAGGGGGAGCGGAUGAUGACUUGGGCCCAAGCCCAAUUUCCUUAGUCUAGUAUUUCUUUUACUUGUAAUAGACAUGUGUACAAUGUGUUAGGCAUGUGGUACAUUUAGACCUAUAUAUAGGCAUGCUAACACAUCUUGUAAUCACUUUUUGAGAUAAUUGAAUUGUUUAUUGUUGAGAAUUACUCCAGAGCAAUUCUACCUUGAAAGUCAAGGCUAGAGAAUCCCAAAGGAUCUCCUCUAGCCACCUUCCAUCUCAUACUUACCAUUCUCUCAUUUUCCACCAUCAUUUUCUCACUCUGCCACCGUGACAUCCAUUCUCCAAUCCUUUUCAGCUGUGUGGCGCUACUCCGUACUGCCACACCAGGGUUUUCCAUAGCGUCAUACUUCAUCUCCGCAAUUCAUUUCGCAUUCAGCAUUUUUCUCUCUCAAAGCUUCAGAACGUAGGGUUCCUCUUCGAGAGUUCUGCAGCCACAGAUCCAUCGUCGUCCACCAACUAUUUCUUAUUUCCUCUCUAGGUAAUCACCGAUUACACCAUAUCCUCUCGAACCACCGGUCACUUCUCCGGUCUACCUAAUCUUCACCGAUCAAACCGAAAAUCCUUACAUUUACUCCGAUUAAACCACAGCCUUGCUCUGUUCCACCGAUUCAAUCGGUGAGAUCUUACUCUUCCACCGUUUAAAUCCUUUUUACAUUGAACCCUAACCUUUCACCGAUUGAACCACAAACCUAGGGUUCGUAGUCUUCUUCUUGAGUCUUCCGCUGCGUCUUCUACGUCCAAGUCAUAAUUUCCUCUGUUUCUCGAGUUCGUCAGUUGGUCCGUCUCAGAUCCAUGGAUCCUCGCCGGAGUGAUCUGUAUCACAUAUUAAAUGUCACUCGUAGCCUUAUUUUUCAAUCCAAUGUUCCGAUAUAUACUGGUCCUAUGCUCUAUCCCAUGUUGUGUUCUUGAUUAAUAGAUUACCUUCCCCCAUUAUUGAAGAUAAAACACCUUUUGAACUCUUACAUAAUAAUCCACCCACUUAUCUUGAUUUAAAGGUUUUUGGUUGCCUAUGUUUUGCUUCUACCUUGGAAAGUAACAAAAACAAACUUGAUCCUAGAGCAAGAAAGGGCAUAUUCCUAGGAUACAAAAGUGGGGUAAAAGGAUAUAUAGUUCUGGACAUUAAUAGCAAAGAAAUAAUUAUAAGUAGAAAUGUUGUUUUCUAUGAGAAUAUAUUUCCCUAUAAAGAUAAGCAGGAAGGAAGAAACAAUUAUAACUGCGAAAAGGACAAUGUGUUUUUCCUAGAUGAGAUUAAUUGCAGGCAUGAAAAGGAUCUUGUUGAUGAUGAAGGAGGAGACUCGAGUCCUGCUCAAGAUAAUGGUACUGAAAGGAGCUCUGUUGAAGACAAUGUUAUCAACGAAGACAAUAAUUUCAUAGAACAACAGCAAGGAAACAAUCAAAGGAGAUCUAAAAGAAUUAGAAAGGCUCCUGAAUACUUGAAAAACUAUGUUCAGCAAGGUGAUGAAUCCCCAUCUAGCCAUUUGUGUGCCAAGAACGGUUUGAAUACUCCCUACCCUAUAACUAGUGUUUUGUCUUACAAAUCUCUUUCUAAUAAACACUUAAAGUAUACACUUGCUAUAACUGCUGACAAAGAACCCAGCUCCUAUGAAGAGGCCAAAAGCAGCCCUGGGUGGAAUCAGGCCAUGCAAAAGGAAAUUCGGGCUCUACAAACAAAUAGGACAUGGUUCUUGACUCAACUUCCUACAGGAAAGAGAUCUAUUGGAUGCAAAUGGGUCUACAAAGUAAAGCACAAGGCCGAUGGUACCAUUGAAAGGUAUAAAGCUCGUUUGGUAGCCAAAGGCUACACUCAAGAGGAGGGAAUAGAUUUUCUGGACACCUACUCUCUAGUUGCCAAACUUACUUUUGUUAGGAUGUUGCUUACCCUUACUGCCUCUUAAAAUUGGUUUCUACAUCAACUAGAUGUAGACAACGCCUUUCUUCAUGGAAACUUGAAUGAAGAUGUGUAUAUGGAUCCUCCACCAGGGUUAAAUGUUGAUGUUAAAGGACAAGUAUGCAAGCUAACUAAGUCCUUGUAUGGGUUGAAACAGGCGAGCAGACAGUGGUUUGACAAGCUCUACACAUUCCUGGUUUCUUCUGGAUAUGUUCAAUCUAAAUCGGAUCACUCUUUGUUUGUCAAGAAGACUCCUAAAGAAUUCAUAGCACUACUUGUGUAUGUUGAUGAUAUUGUUUUAACUGGAAAUUCCAUGAAAGAGAUCAACCUCAUAAAAACUCUUUUGGACAAGCAAUUCCAGAUUAAAGAUCUGGGAGAACUCAAGUAUUUCCUGGGUUUUGAGGUUGCUAGAUCUAAAAGGGGAAUACAUUUAUGUCAAAGGAAGUAUGCCCUUGACAUUCUUGAAGAAACGGGGAUGCUAGGAAGUAAACCUAGCUCUACACCAUAUUUGAGCAACAACAACUCUCUGUACAAAACAGAGGACUACAUGGAUAAUCCUAGUGAUUAUCGAAGGCUGAUAGGGAAGUUAUUUUACCUUACUAACACUAUACCAUAUUUAUGUUUUACAGUUAAUCUUUUGAGUCAGUUUAUGCAGGAACCAACCAAGCACCAUUAUCAGGCCUUGCAACACAUUCUCAGAUAUGUUAAGUCAAGUCCUUCUGAAGGACUCUUCUUUGCUUCCAAUUCUCGUACACAGAUAAAGGGCUUCAGCGGUUCUGACUGGGCCACCUGCCACAAUACAAGGAGGUCCACUACUGGCUAGUGCAUUUUCUUGGGGAAUUCUCUUGUCUCUUGGAGAUCGAAGAAGCAGACUACUGUCUCAAGAUCUUCUACAGAGGCAAAAUACAGAGCUCUAGUUGCCAUGGUCUAUGAGAUGCAGUGAUUACACUAUCUCCUACAAGACCUUGAAGUGAAACCUAUAGCUACGGCCGUCUUAUAUUGUGACAACAACUCUGUCAAGCACAUAGCUCAUAAUCAAAGUUUCCAUGAGCGAACCAAGCAUAUAGAGUUGGAUUGCCAUGUUGUUCGAGAGAAAAUACAGGCCAAGUUUCUUCAUCUGCUCCUUAUCCGAUCAGAAGAACAGCUUGCAGAUGUCUUCACAAAAUUUCCUCACCGCACUUGCUUUAAAUCCAUUAUUUCCAAGCUUGGAAUGGUGAAUAUCCACCAUCCAGCUUGAAGGGAGACUAUUAAAUGAUUCUGUUAUGCAUUUAUUAGAUUCUGUUUGAGAUUACUGUUCACACGAACAGUAAUCUAGUUUUAGGGUUCCUAAUUUUGGGGCUUUUCUAUUUGUGUGUUACCAGAACCUUAUAUAAGGGAUUCCAGCCUUUGUAAUAGAAGAAGAAGAGAGAAUAAUAAAAAUUACAACACCAUUACUUUGCAAAUAUUACUUUCGUACCUUAGAACGUGCGUCCUUCGUCUUUAUUUUUCUUCUUCCGAUCAUCUGCCGCCACUGUCAGCCUCGUCGGAGCUUUUCAUCGUCGUCGUCUCUCGUACUGGAGCCUCCACUGGAUUCGUGUGCUUCAUCUCCAUCUCGCUACUCGCUCGAAGUCUUUCGCACUCAUCUAUCUUCUGUCUUCAGAAAGUGCACGAGUGAGAUAUUUUAUCUCACUUUGGGCCACACAUUUUGGGCCUUCUUUCUGUCGAAGACUGGGCCAGUUCAGUUUCUUUAGAUUCAAAGAUAAAAAUUAUAAUUUGGAUCAAAUGCACUAUGAAUACAGCCUAACCCUCAUCGUCAAAGGUGUUGACCAAGCACUCAACAACGCAUAAACACGUUGAUCACCAAACAACUUCCAAAAUUAAAACCAACACAAAGAAUGAAUAUUCACACGGUUACCGUUUCAAAAACAGAUCCUAUGCACACUAAAAAAAAUAUGCUAAAAGAAGAAACAAAUCCUAAGAAUAUGAACACAAAACAUAAAUGCAAAAAAGAAAAUAAUCUAAAAAAGACUAACUAAAAACCCUAAGACUUAACUCGCUGAGUCCCAACAACGACGUGAUUUAUUAAACUGGUUUUAGUUGCACAAAAUCAGAACAAAGCUAGAUUUCUCCAUUAAUAAAGUAUAGAAAUAACCCAGGUAUCAAUCAUUGGACUCGGUACAAUUAAGUUUUAGAAAUGUUUAGUUGAAAUCUUGUGUUAUUUAUUUACUAAUUAUUUACUAACUAAUUAUUUAGUAUUGCAAGGUGGGUAAAAUGAAAUUUAAUUGAAAACAAAGAAAUUAAAAAAGAAAAGAGUAAAGAAAAAGGAUUUGUUUAAAAGGAAAAUAAAGAAAUAAAAUGUAAAGAACUUAAACCUAAACUAAAGUGAUGAAGCAAUUGGAUCUAACUAAGCAUACAAGUCAAAACAGUAACUAUAUGAAUGCUAAAAAUUAACAAGGCAAGAUAAUUAACUGGAUAUUGAAACUAAUGUAAACCAUGAACAGUGAAUGAAAAGAAAUGAUUUAUGCACAUAUCAGAACCAAAAUUAAAGAAUCGAAAAAUUUGUUAGAAAAAAACUAGUCAAAUUCAUAUAGUAUUAAGCACAGACAGUCAGAAAGACGUCGUGUGAAAAUAAACCCAUUACAUGAUGUUAAAGUUUUUCAGAACUCAUAACAAUGAUGCUCAUUAAAACUACACUGAAUUCAAAUUCAAUUUAUGUGUUUAACUACUAUGAUAUAUGAAAACAUAUUCUAAUUACAAUUAAAACAUAUAAUCUACUUUAAAACAUUUAAAUUCCUAAUUAAAACCAACUAUUAUAUUUAAUGAAUAAAAUUUAUUAAACUUAUGUCUAAUUCGAAAAGACAUCUCGAUAAUAUAAGCUCACUUUAAAAUCAUUUAAUUCAGAGUCCAAAUCAUUUUUUUCAAAACAAACAAAACAACAAAAAAAACUUACAUAAUCUCCCAAAAUUCCAGAAACAUUGCACAAAAAUCAAACUCAGGAAACACAUCAAUGAAAAAAAUUAUUAAUAAAAAAUUAAGAUUAGAAGAGAAAGUACCAAACGAAGCGCCGCGGAUAAUCCACAGAAAUCACUCAAAACAGAUUCCUCAUAGUGUUUGACUCAUUCCCUUUCAAGAGUCUCUAAUUAAUUAUAUUAAAAAAUAUUAAAAAAUGUCAUUUUAAUUAAUUAUAAAUUAUUUAUAUUUAGAUGCAGUUAUAAAAACAUCUUUUUAUUAAUUUUGUUUUGAAAAUCUUUAUGAACUUAUUUUAUAAAUUAUGUAAAAAAUAUUAUAUAUUAUUUCACGUUUAAAAUAUAAUAAACAUAUUUAAAAUAAAUAGAUUAUUUUUUUAAAAAUGCUUCAUACAAAAAAUCAAAUAAAUAAAUAUUUCUAUUUAUGUAUAUUAAAAUUUAACAAAAAUACAUAUAAUUUUAUAAAAUAAAAAAAAAACUGAAAACACUAUAAAUAAUUAACAUAUUAUAAAAUAUUUAUAUAAUUAAAAUAAAAUAUUUGAAAACAACAUUAAUACAACUGUAUAAUUUGAACAAAAAUAUGUUAAUCAUAAUUUAAUUUCAACUAAUAAACAAAGUAAAAAAUAAAAAGGUAAUAAACUAUUCUAACUCCUUUUCCUCUGAGAAUUUAUGAAUGAUAAACAUUUCCUCGCAUCCAAUAUUAUACCUCAAACUUCGCCUACCUGUAUGUGUUCUGACGAAUGUGGGACUUCAUAACUUGAAUAAUGCUCCAAACAUGAUUUUCUGAACAGACUUUAAAAUUUAGAACAGCAGUUGAGAGUUCAUCUGAUGUCUGAUGAACCUUGGAGCUAAUUACAGUCAUUCCAAAUAUAUUUUACUUGAUAUUACCAACUAUGUCGAUCCUUCUCCAGUAGGAGCGGUUCAUGCCUAAUUAAGGUUUAACUAAGUAUUUCUUAUAUGAUAUGUAUGCUAAGUGUUAAUGGAAAAAAUUCAGAUAUGUUAAACCUUGUCAAAGGAAAAGAAGUUGCAGACUAUGUUCAGCUUCAAGAAUGGGAUCCUGAUUUGUAAUAGGAACCCCAAAUAAAUACGAGGGUAACUUUAUCAAGCUCAUCAUUGAUCCCUUGUAGGAGAAAAACCAAGACCAAAACUAAUCUUACUUAUAAUCUGGGCCUUGAGAAGUCUUGGCUGAUCAGUAGAGAAGACAAUCAUCAUCUAAGAGCAAAUGAAAAAUACAUAAGAUUUUUUUCAAACAAUCUUCAAAGGAAAAAUGUCCUCCUUGGUUUGUUGGAUGAGGAAGGAUAAUUUCAGCAUAAAACAAACAAAUAACUUUGGACAAUGCAUUUGAUAAGGUAAUUAUGAAACUCUUUUACCUUAUAACAGUCCCAAAUAAACAACUAAUCCAUUAAGAAGAGGACCUCAGCUUUCAUUUAUCCAAACUAUGCUAGGAUAAUUGAAGUAGAAGCUAAAUUUCUUCUUUCUAACUCAUCCACUAAGACUUGAAGCAGAUGGAAGAGAAGUCAUUUACUGCAAACUGGGAUGCUUUCUCCCUAUUUCUUUCUGUUCCGGUCGGGAUUUGGUCCCAGCUCCCCUACACACUUUCCCACUUCGAACCGUCCGAUCCUCCGCUGAUCCAACUCCAGUUGAAUCGCUCUCCUUCGUCGAAGCCGGUCGGGUACCUGCCAAUGGCACUCCGACGCUCAAGUCAGUGGUCAAUCUUUUCUAAUAAAAGGUAGAGAUAGAGAGAGAGAGAAAUAAAUGUGCAUUCAAUGUGUCUCUAUCCCUUACCUUUGACUUAUAUUUAUAGUUUUCUUCGUGGGCCAGUGAUUAGCAGAUCUUUAAUUACGGCCCAAUCACAGGCCCACCACCAUUGAUUUGGUCUUACCUUAAUCUUGAAUGUUUACCAUACCUUAAUUUGCGAUCUCCGCCGGCCGUCCCUAUUGUAUAAAACAAGAAAAGAUUUGACGCUUGUCGUGACUUUCUUCCGGUCCUACAGUAUGCUGGUCCCCCGAGCUCUGAUCGGCAUAUUUUUGACGUAAUGACGUAGGGACGCAACGGCCGUCCGGCUUGGCAUGGUAGUUGUCCCGGAUGUCGUCAGGUCGUCAUGGCAUGGAGAAUGUCUGGUCGUCUUGCUGUGAUGAAUUCUUCAAAGUUUUUCUCAUGGACGAGUUCGUGACCGGUUAUAAUUAGACAGUCAUGUGGGCAUGACAGCAUCGUGCCAUGCGCGGCAUCCCCGAAUGCCGACAAGGUCUGCUUGGUUACCGGUCCUCCCGUUCGGCGACUCGAAGGCAAUGCCUUGGUCAUACCAGACGUUUCGUCUCUCAGCAUUUCGAAGAACACUUUUUGAGCAUGGAGAAUGCGGUGUUGUCUUGUGCUGACAUGACUUCAUGUGAAUUCUUCAAAGUUUUUCUUAUAAACAGAGGUUACUCCCGGCCGCCAACACCGGGCUUCUUUGUUGUAUUUCCUCGGGUUGUGGCGUGCCGGUCGUUCCGACUAUCUUUACGACCGUCCGUCCCCCUCCUUACAGUACACUUUCAAAAACAACUUCCUUCCACCAACGUUUUUAUGGGCCUGAAAAUUCUUUAUCUAUAGAGAAGACAAACACCACCAAAAACUACCAAACCUCAGGCUUUGGUAAUUGUAUUCUACAAAAAUUAUAAGCAACUAACUAAUUAAAACAUUAAAAUAAAAAUCAUCAGAAAUAAGACUAAAUAAUCGAACUAUGUUAGGUGGGAUGCACCAUGCCAUUGCAAGAGUGCAAAGCAAGAAACCAAAUAGCAUGAACUAGUCAGAAUUUCUGACUAGUGUCUGACUUCAUAACUUGAGUCAGAAGCUUCCAAACUGAAUGCCUAAUAUCAACUAACUAAAAAUUUAGAUAUGCAUGAAACUUGAAACUGUUUAUAGUCAUCCAAUUAUUUUUCACUUGAUAUGAUCAAUAGUUAAUUAAGAAGAAAAAUACUUAUCUUAAUAUAAUUAUCAAACUUAUUCAUCAACAGAUAGCAAAUGUUAUGUUGACUUUAUGAGUAUUUUAAAUAAAACUAAAAAAAUGUCUUUCAUUGACAUGAACUUUUAGAAUUCCACAUAUCUUAUAUUUUUUUUCUAAAGUCUUAAAGUCAAUAAUAAAGUGUCAAAAAGUUAAAUGUUGAUUAUGAGUAUGGAGGUCUAUUUGUUCGUUGUACGGCACAAUCAGGUCAUCCAACAAGUCCAUGCGUUGGAAAGUCUUCCAAUACCUUGCUCGCCCCAUACCUAGCUAUCUCCGUCGUGAUGACCAUAGGUUCAUUCCCACGAUCAGUUCCGACAUACUUCUUCAGUUGUCCCGCCCAGAUCAACUCUUCGAAUCUAUCCCUUAGGGUCACACACUCCCAUAUCAUGUGACCCAUGUUUUUAUGGUAAAGGCAAUGCUUGAUGUCAUCCGCACCGGGCGAUGUGGGAUGUCGCUUUGGCAUAUGAAUUAGCUUUGCACUAAGAGCCUCUUGUAGUAUCUUGGCCCGGGUCGCGUUCAACGGGGUGUAUUGCUAGAAGCGCGACCUGGACGGUCUUUGUCCCACUCUCCCUGACUUUUUUCCUGUAGGCUAACAAGAACCGUCGGGCGUCUCAUUUUGCUCCAUUCGUUCUACCCAGACAAUCUUAUCUCCCUUCUCUACGACCUUCUCCCCAGCGAUCAUGGCCGCGUUCUCAACUUUAAGCACGCCAAUUCCGCUUCGUGACACUGUUGCAUUUCCUCCAUCUUCUACUGUAGCAUUUUGAUCAUCUCUAUUGGGUCUUUUGUGCUCAUGUUUCUUGUGGUCACCAUUGGGUAUCAAUCAAGUCACUCAGUCCCACGAUGGACGCCAAAAUGUUUUGGGCAUAGGGUCAAGUAACUUCUAACACCUUCAUAAUUUCCUCUUCAAAGUCGUUUGGGAGCUUAAGUCCUCGUACUGUCUUCGUCUUCACUUUAACCGUCUGGAGGGAUACCUGCCAAAGGUUCUAUGAUGCUUAAGUUAGCAAAUAAUCCAUACGGGAAGUAAGAGCAAUAGUAUUAAAUGCACAACAGAUACAAUCACCUACCUCUUAUAUUUGACCUUUAUUUAUAUUUUUUGAGAUGAGUUUAAAAUUAGUGAAACCUUAAUUUCGGUCUCUUAUCUCGGUAUCUUAAUCUUUGAUUUGAGAAAACUGAUUAAGUUGGUCUGUGCAGUUUUGUCUGUGUUUGGGUGGUCUCUUUCUUCACAAAUUGUAGCACCGUCCGCCCUACGAUAUAGUUAUAAUAGGAAACCCAGAUAAAUAAUUCACCCAUCAUUAUGUAUACCUAGCUAAUUGGAGAAGUGUAAAUUGAAGAGAGUACAACAAUAUUCACCAAAAUAAGUAACUGAACUGAUCUGAAUGGGAUGCGCCAAGCCCUUGCAAAAUUGCUAAACAAAGCUAUUAUGCUUGAGAGAUAAGUUGCAAGUUACUCUAACAUCUAUAUAAUUUAUAACUCAAGAUAUGUUUGAAUCCUUCCACAACUAACUGUAAUAGCGAAUCCAAAGUAAUGCACUUCCUUAUAAUCAUGAAACAACUACCACCAGAACUGAAGAACAAAUAAACAAACAUUCAACAAGAACAUAAAAACAAACUAUCAGAAAUCAAAGCAAAUAAUUGGACUACUUUGGGUGGGAUGCACCAGACCCUUGCAGAAGUGCAACACAAGGACGAUGCUUGAGGAACCAAGUAGCAAGCUACUUUAAUGGCUCCCUCCCUCAAAAAAUUAAUUUAAUAUCGUGUGAACUAAUAGCCCACAUAUCAGAUAUUAAACUGAUAAGAACAGAUACUACACUUGAUCUUAGCCAAAAGGCCGAGAAAGGUAUGCUUUGAAAGUUUGAAGUGUUUAGAUUUUAUCUCUCAAGCUUCAACUCUUUGUCAGUAUUCUGACAAGUAUGGGACUUUCAGAUGCUCCAAAAUGACUGUCUAAUUACAACUAAAAUUUAGAUAGCGCUGAAACUUGAAACUGCUUAUAGUCAUCCAAUUAUUUUUCACUUGAUAAUAGACCAAUAAUGUUGAUCCUUUCCAAUAGUCAAUUAAGAAGAAAAUGUUUAUCUUAUUAUAAUUAUCAAACUAAUUCAUCAAAAAAUAGCAAAUAUUAUGUAUCUUAAGUAAAACUAAAAAAAUGUCUUUCAUUAACAUGAACUAUUAGAAUUCCGCAUAUUUUAUAUUUUUGUAUUCUAAAAUCUUAAAGUCAAUAAUAAAGUGUCAAACUUCCAAGUUAAAUGUUGAUGAUGUUAGGAUUCAACAAAGAAAGGAAAAAAGUUGUUUGUAAAUUGCUUAUAGAACUCAAUGGUGAUCAGUGCCUUAGACUAGGCGCUGGGAAAAAACGUUAGUUACGUGUUUGAAGUUUUUUGAUACAUUAAGAAGUCAGUACCACGAUUUAACUCUAUAAUAUUGUAUUAAAAAUGUGUACAUAUAUAUAUACAGCAGAGCACAAACUGAAAAUGGUAGUAGCAGCAUGAGAUUUGAUGAAUGCAAGAAAGAGAAGCAUUAGUGUAGAAUUGUGAAGAAAGAAAAGGAUUUUCAUCUUCCAUCAAGAACCCCGCUGAAGACUUGGCUGUCUCCACCUAAUGAUGCUUCCCAUUCUGUGGAUGACAUAACAAUCUGUGACAAUGCCACAACUAUCUCCCUCAUCACAGGCCUGUCGUUUGGAUCUUCGCACAAACACCAAUGAGCUACUUCUGCCAUCUGCAAAGCCGAAUGUUCCAAAUAACAAANUUAUGAAAAGAGAAAAACGAGUCAUGUGAAAAAGUGAUAUAUAUAACUAUUUUAUGUCAGAAUAAUAUUAGAUUAAGGAAAGCAGCAUCAUUAGUCUAACCCCUACAUUAUCUCUAAAGACACACAAUAACUAUGUUAAAGGAGUGAUCAUUAUUAUCUUUGUUCAAACACAAAAUAUUCUUUGAACCAAAGAACCUCAUCCUUAGUUCUUACCCAUCUAAUGCUUUUGCUUUUAAAAGACAUUUGUUUGUUUUAGGUGAUUAAGAAACUAUUCGUUUGUCUGUUUGUCUAAAUUUUUCAUUGGUGCUCUUGACUUCUUAAAGGGAAAAGUUUAGGUUACAGGUCCUCCCGAGUGAAACUGAUAUCCUCAAUUACUGAUUUACUGUCUCUUAAAAACUAAUAUCUGUAAAAACUAUUUUUUUUAUUUUAUUUAUAUUUCCAUUGAGUCCACAGAGAGAUAUUAAAUUAAAAUAGAGUAUGCGAGUAAAGAUAGGAACUUCAGGUAAAUCUAACCUUGUAGACAUCUUCCAUGGGAUAGCUAUGCUGAAGAUUCCCAUCUAUGGCAUCUGCUAAAACAUUCUCUGGGUAUUUAUUUCCGAAGAUUUGGCUAACCUGAAUGUGAUGAAAACAAGCCUUUCAAAUAAUAAUAAUAAUAAAUGUUUGAGUAUUAACUCAACUGCGGAGUUAGAUUUCUCUGAAUAAAAGUGAACUAAUGAUCUAUUGGAUUUCAUUUUCAUAAUACAUACUCUCAACCUUAAAUUCUAUUUCUCUUCUAUCUCUUCUUAAUGUUCUAUGAGAAAUGAGUUUGACUUACAACUGUAACAAGUGAUUUCAUAUUGUUGGCUUGUUGGUUGUCACGAAAUAGUGCACGUUUCCCUGUUAUCAACUCUGACAGAACCACCCCAAAUGCAAAAACAUCUGUUUUUAUAGUCACUUGAAGCUCCUUAACAGAUCUAAAAGGNGCAAAAAAGCAAUCAAGUCAGAAUAAAAUCAACUGGUGUGUAACUUUUUUUGACUUGGGUUUAAGUAUAUAAUGGUAGCAAGAAAAUUGAUUCUGUUGAAUACACCAAGAGAGUGUACUUAUGAUCUGAAAGCACAAAACCUACUCUGGUGGAAGGUAGCCCGGUGUUCCAACCAGCCUUGUUGCUAUGAAUUCUUCAUCAUUGGUUCGUUCUACUAGCUUUGCAAGUCCAAAAUCUGCUACCUAAGUACAAAAGGCCAACUUAACAGAUUGAUUUUGAACUCAGUAUAGAGACUCUGGUUCAAAGUUUUCUCAACUCAGCUUUACAAGGAAAUAAAAUAAAUUCAUCCCCAGCAAUUUCUUACAAGACAAGUUAAAUUCAAAGGGACAUGUACAAUGUUUUAAAACCUUAGAUGUUUUGUUAAUCUACAGUGUUAUAACAUGUUUAUUAUAUGAUAACAUGAAUAGCUGAUUCAGUUUACUUUAUAUAUUAAAAAAAAUUAUAACUAGUCCCAAUUUUCUUUUAGUGGUGGCAAUUUUGGACAGAGCAGAAGGGAGCAAAACAAGGCAAGAUUUACCUUUGCUCUUAGCUUCUCAUCAAGGAGAAUAUUGGAAGUCUUUAUAUCACGGUGCACAUAUCGAGCUUUCGUGUAAUCAUGUAUGUAUUCAAGACCUUUUGCUGCAUCCAAUGCAAUUUGAACCCUAGCACACCAAGAAAGAGGCUGGUGACCUGUACCAAUACAAUGGUAAAAUUAGGUUAUAUAACUUAAUUUGAUCUUUAAGUAAUCAUACUCUCUCACGUAUUGGAUUAAUCUUUUGAGAAGAGUUAUAUUGUGUUUGUUUGAGUCCUAAAAUGUCUCAUCGGCUUACUUUUGUUUGGAAAGUGAUUUUGGUAUCGAUAUACCUUUCAGUAAUGGAUCAUGAAGGUGCUCACUGAGAGAUCCAUUUGGAACAUACUCAUACACCAAAUAAAGGUGGUCAUCUCCGCUGGCAUAUCCCAACAACUCCACCUGAAACAGUGAUUAUAUCUAUAGUAUAAUCAAACAACAUUUCUUAAAGAUAAUGCUAAAGCUCUCUUCAUCAGAGACAUUACUUACAAUGUUAAUGUGAUGGAUCUUACACAGGGCCUUGAGUUCUGCAUAGAAUUCUUUGGAUUUAUUAGACCUCAUCUUCUUUACUGCAACCUCCUGAAGUUAAAACAGCUAUCAUUCUCCAAUUCUCAAUCAGCAAAUGAAAAUAUGCUUCAAUGUCUUGGGUUUUCAUACCUUCUCCUCCAACAUUCCGAAAUACACACUCCCGUAUCCACCUACUCCAAUCUUUCGCGUUUCAUCAAAGUUAUUUGUAGCAUCUUCAAUCUCCUCUAGAGCAUAAAUUACUGGUCUUUCUGAUUCAAAUGGAGUUGCAUCUUCGGCCAUAUUUACCAUGAAUAAACAAAAGACCUUCUUAAUCUCCUUGUAUAGAUAUUAGCAAAUUACUGAAAACGUUGUAUUUUCGAAAAUCAGUUGCUUUUGCUUCCAAAAUUUAUUUUCAAGUUACCUUCUAUAUGUUCUGCAUGAAAGUCCUUUAUGGAAAUAGUUCUAUUUCCAAUGGAUCUUUUAGACACAAUAUUUGGAUCAUUUUUUGCGACUACACUGGCCCUGGAUCUCCUAAGAACGACAACGAGAAUGAUCAAAGUGAUAGUUGAAAAGAAUGCCACACCCGCUAAGAUGCCAAUGAUUAUAUAGUGUUUCUUUUCUGCAAACAAGGGAAAGCCAUGCUAAGAUUUUGUACCCUAGUGUAAGAUUUUGCACCGCGUGCCAAUAAAAAUAUGGAAAAAUCAUGAAUGCUGCUGAAAUAUAGGAAGAGAAAUCAUCACCUUUUCCUUUGGAAGGCAAACCAUUGAGUUCCCUUGGAACAUACAGCACCCAACUAAUAUCUAUGAAUGAGGGGUUCUGAACCAGAACUUCGUUCAUACUCACCAUGUCAUCUAAGGUAGCAUUUAGCAGAGUAGCGAUUGAUAUGGGUGUAUCAUUCCGCUGAACUGUAUACGUGACAACAAUUUGGGAGUCUUUUUUUUCUGAACACCCACAAGGAAGAUGUAUUGCUAAGUCCUCGUUUGGGUUCACUUCUCUGUCAAUAGACCAGGCUUGACCACUGUAAACAAUGUUGUUAAUCUCCACAGAAGAGUCAUUAGGCUUCACCUUGUAGGUUGUAUCAUAGAAAUAUCCGCCAAGGUCAUUGGAGCUAUUGCAGGAACAAGGGACUGUUAUAAGGUAAUCUUGCUUUGUGCCACGCAUUAUAGGUUUGAUUUGGGAGGGGUGAACGGAGUAAAAGUUGGCUAAGUCAUCUGCGUUGUGAUUGUAACUUAUGUGGUAGAGUGAGGCAUUGCAUGUGCUGAUCAUGGAGGAGCAUCUGAACGGUUCAAAGUGAGUUGUUUUGAGAGAAGCUUGGAAGGAAAACACAGCUACAGUUACACAAGAAGUUGCAAGAAGAGGAAUGAGAAGAGAAGUUAGAGAAGCCAUGGUUUGUGUGAUAAUAAUGAAACCUGUUUGAAAGGGAAGAGAGAUAGGAAAGCAAAAUAACAAACUGGUUAAUUUCCAAGUGCAUCCGUUGCAUUGCACUUGUCAUCAUGUGGUUGUUGCUUCUUGAUUUCAAGAACUAGAAACGUUCUCCACUUAGCAUGAUUUUACAAAAUGUGAUGAUUAUUAUAGAAUUAUUUGGUCCCAAUCGUAAGGAUGGAGCAUAUUUGUGGGAUCUCCGACGGCAAUAGUGGACUCGAACAGAAAACAAAAGCAAUAGACAAGUUCCACACCGAAUAAAAAAGCGAUGGUGUCAAUCACAAGUCACACUCUAGCUGUCUUUUAAUGCCACUUGAAUGCUGACGAGUGGCAAAAGUUAUAUUAUUUUAUCUGGGUUUUCGUUUUAUCCUCACGUUAGUCGUUUUCAGUUGAAGUAUACUAACUUGGAUUUUAAAGAAAUAAGUGUAACAAAAAUCUAAUUCUUCCUCAUAUGCGUUUAUGUCAUCUUCGGAAUUAACUCCCCUACCUUUUUAAGUUUCUUUUUUUCAUAUUAAAAUUUGAGAAUUAACUUUGUUUUAAGAGUAAGAAUUAUUUUCUAGUUCUAUAUGUAAAUAGAUUUUUAAGUUUACCAUUAUCCUCUAUGCGGACAAAUUUCUUAAUUAUAGAAAUACAUUCACUUAUUUUCAAAUUUAAGUUUUAUGCAUAUAUAUUGUUAAAUCACAAAUCUAAAUUGGAUUGAUCAAUAUAAUGAUUUUUAUGCAUUACGAAGACCAUCUUAUUAUUAUUUUUAUUCUCAUUAUAUUAAAAAAUAUUAAUGGCAAUCACAUUAUCCAAGUAAUAGCCUCUAAGCGUAGUAAGUCUCUAGAAAUAGGUGAACAAAAUUCAUCUUUGGGUGAGUUAAAGUGAAAGGUUUUAAUAACUAAUUUUCUCAUGGUAAAAUAACAAAUAUAUAGAUAAUAACAUAAUUCAUAAACAGAAAUUGAAGUAUAAAACUCCAUAAAUUGGAUGUGUUCCAAUCUUUCCAGCAAGUCCUAAUCAUGUUAGAUGAUCCAGAUCGAGAUUCACAGUAACGGCUAAACAUAAUAAAAUAUUUAUCUAAAAUUUAAUAUUAAUAAAACAUAUAUACAAUAAAUAAAUGUAUCCUUUAUUAAUCUUAUAAAGUUUAAUUUUCUUUUAAAAUUAUUUAUAGUCUUAAACUUAAACAUGAAAUUAGAACUCGUCCUUAUUUUCAAUUUUAAUACAUUUAAUCUUUAAAUUUUUGAAAAUAAAUUAAUAAUGUUAAUUUUUUUUAUUAAUUAAAUGACGUUUCAGUUAAUAUUUGAGUUAGAUAAUUAUUAAUUUUCAAAGUUUGUGCAGAAAGAAUAGUCCUGAAGUGAUAGGUUUAUGGCCGAAUAACUACAGCAUAUGGUGACAAUGAUGAACGAAAGCCAAUUUUUGUUACACGAGUGGCAGGUGAACAGCUAACUUCUCGCGGCAACCUUAAACCAAAAGAAGUAAGGGAGAAAAGAGAGGUUGUGAAAGUUGAUUGACUUUGGCCUAAUUUGUUUCUCUUCCAAUAGUAAUGAAGGAAACAAUGACAAUGUUCCAACUAUGUUUAGAAAGACAAAAAUCUAUAAUUAAUUUGCUACUUUUUUAUCCUCUCUGGAAUCAAAAUUUCUUCAUUAGGUCAUGCCACCAUAAUUAACAGAAAACAAGGAAACACCUAUCCUUAAUAACAACCUCAGACAACAAACGCACUUUCUUGUGUUAUAAAAGGACCCAAUAUUGGUUUCCUUUGGGUGCCAUUGAACCUACAUUGACCUUUUCUGAGCAAAUGAAAAUGGCACGAAUCUUCCUUACCACUCUUUCUCUGCUGCUCCUGCUCCUUGCUCCUUCCGAGGCUGAUCAAAUAAAUCCCUACCAACCAACAUCUUUUUCUGAAAUUCAUAAACCAUUUCUGGGCCGCCGUGAUGAUUCCCACAGUAAACUAACAGGUGACACACCCGAGGAAAGAAAACAAUUCGAUGAUCGAGAACGCUACACAUUGCCUCAAAAUGCUUUCCACACUCCUGACAAACUCACUGAAGGAUUCUACGACCAAGUUUGCCCCGGUUUACAAAACAUCAUCACCCAAGCUUUCCGCCAGAUCGUUGAGCAGAAUUCAGGCGCAAUCGGUAACAUCAUUCGCCUUCAGUUCCAUGACUGCUUCGUCAAUGUAAGCAUUUCCUAACAAUGCAUUGCCUCAUCGUACUUUUCUUUCUUCUCUAUAAAUCAAUCUUAUUAUAACCAAAGUAUAUAUAUAUAUAGUACCACUAACAUAACCAUCAAUUUGGUUCAAACAUUUUAGAGAAAAAGUAAAUUAAUAGUGAAAUGAAAUCAGUCAAGGUGAUGACAGUAAAAUAGUUUUUAUAGUUAAUCAAGAACAAAAUUUUCUUCUAUGAAGUAAUCUGUAGAGGGUCAUUUGUAUAUUUAUAUUUUUGCUAUAUAUAUAUGAACGAAAAGACAUAGUGAUGAGUUUCUAACCCAAGUUGGAAUGAUGGGAUUGAACAAAGGGAUGCGAUGCAUCGAUAUUGUUAGAUUAUACACCAUCGGGUGACAUGGUUGAGAAAGGUUCGGCGUUCAAUGGUUUUCUCCUGAAAGGGGCUGACAUGAUAGAUGACAUAAAGGCAAAGGUGGAGAGCAAGUGUCCUGGAAUCGUGUCAUGUGCAGACAUAUUGGCAUUUACAACCCACGUAGCAAUGACAAUGGCGGGUUUACCUGCUCAGAGGCCCCUUGGAGGUCGCAAAGACGCUACCGUUUCCUUUGCAAGCGUUGUAGAAGCCGACAAUCUUCCUAUGUCAGAUUGGAACAUCGACCAAAUGAUGGAACUGUUUGGCAGGAAAGGGUUCAACAUAGAAGAAAUGGUGGUGAUGAUUGGUGCACAUUCUGUUGGGAUUACUCAUUGCGACUUCUUCAUGCAGAGGGCCUUAGACUUCAAUAAGACUGGGGUCCCUGACCCUACCCUGGGUCAGGAGACGAUUGAUGAAAUCAAAAAAGCAUGUCCUAAUCCUGGCACAACCCUGUUUAGGAAUCCCCCUGUGAACUUUGAUGCCACACCAACUGUUCUUGAUAACCUCUUCUUCAAGGACAUGGUGGAUAAAAGGAGAACUUUGCUCAUUACAGAUGGACAUCUUAUUGAAGAUAGCAGAACUAGGCCAAUCGUCGAACAGAUGGCAGCCGACCCUAACUUGUUCCCCAAGAGGUUUCCUGAGGUCAUGCUCAAGCUCAUGUCUUUGAAUGUGCUCACAGGAAAUGAAGGGGAGGUGAGGAAGAUUUGUAGAUCCACUAAUUAAACAUCAUACAAAUUACUGUAACUAUGCCAUCAUCGUUAACUAAAUUUCUUAUUCUUUAAUUCCUAUUUUUUCCAACUGGGGCAUUUUCUUCACUGCCCCUUUUCUUCCUUCCAUUUGGAAUUUCUCUCAUGUAUUCAUUGCCAACUAACUAUUAUUCAUUUUUUCUUAUCUAUUUCUCUCAUCUAUUCAUGCGCAAUUAACUAUUACAUUACUAUUUAUCUAUCAUUAAACAACCUUAAACUUAUCGUCAAUUAGAGGAAAGAACAAGUAUAAAUCAUUCAAAACUUUUAGUUGCAAAAAUCAGAGAAAGGUUUCCCCUCUGUUGUUGUAUGAAAGUUCUUAAUUAUUGCCUUUUGGACUCCCUAAUAUUACGUUGAUACAGUUAAAAAAUAUUUGAAAUAAAGUGAAUUGAUUUGUAUAAAAAAAAAUUAAUUAUUUAAAAAAAUAUUUUUUUUAUAUAUAAUUAUUUGAACUAAAUUACACUAAUUUAUGAUGUUAUAGAAAAUACACUUUAUAUAUUUGGGUUUUCUUAAUCACAUCGACAUAUUAUGUACAGAUUGUCACCAACUAAGCUAUUACUCUACAAUUAGUAAACUGACGAGAAAAUAGAGCCAAGUCAGAAAAAAUAAAGAUAAAAACUGAGGUCAGAGUUCAUUCUGAAAUGAAUUAAAGUCAAAUGUUGUUGUUCUCGAUAAGUGGAUUGGAACAUACUAUGUUUUGUUAGAAUGUCUGUCUUUGACCUAGUAUUGUGAAAAUUGACAUGAUCAAUGAUCCGUGGAGGAAAUGAUUCAGUGCUCAACUUAUUAUUUACCCUAUAUACAUCAUUAUAAGAUUUAAAUCAAAUGUAUUAUUAGUACAUUAAUUAUAUUUUCCUUAUAUCAUUGUUAUUAGGUAUAACUACUACUUUAGUCUUUUUUUUUAAUAUGUUUGUUUAAUCAAAUCUCAAUUUCUUUUUUGUUAAUUUUGAUUAAUUAAGUUUUUUAACACUCAUUAAAUAAUUAACAAAAUAUGAAUAAUAUGUUAUUUAUCAAUGAAUUUUUUGCUAUUUUUAAUUUUUUAAAAAUAUAAUUAUUAAAUUAAUAUUGUGUCAUAUGUCAUGUUUUAUUUUUUUAUAUUUAUUAUUUUUAUUCAAUUUUAUCUUAUUGUUUUAAGGUUUAAUCAUUCAGUAAGUCUCUAUUUUUGCGUGGAAUCUCAAUUUAGUUCUAUUCUUUUAAGAUUUUUCAAUUGGGUCUCAAUUUUCUAAAAAUUGUAACAAUUGAGUCAUUUCCGUUAAAUUGAGUCUAACGGCAUCAAUGUGUGUUUAACGUGGCACUGAAGUCAGUUUGAUAUAGCUGACAAGCCUUUUCCCUCUACUCAAAAUUUUAGUUGCAUUGAACCUUCGAAAAAAUAUCACAGUACCAAAAAGCAAAACUUUCAUUUUCUUCCUAAAUCCAACAUCAAUCAAAGUUUCCAACAAAAGCAGACACCAAUACACAACAUCAUAAUUUAAAAUACCAGCAACCCAGAUGGACAUUGGGUGAGUGAGAGCACAAAUUGACCCAAAGUUCAGACCUUUGCAGGAGGGGGUGGAGCUUGAGGAUCUUAAAUCAACUUUUUGAAGCGACCCACAAAUUCUUUGUUCCACAUAUAGUCAUCAAAGGCCAAAGGGUCUUCAUCAUUUCCACCCCAGUACUUGCGGAGCUUGGUGGUGGUGGGAGGAUCACCGUACUCCCCAAGAGCCAUCCCAGUGGACCAUUUCAUGGGCUUCUUCUUGAGAAGGAUAACUUUGGUCUGCUUUGGGUCUGUCAAGGGUGCGGAGCUUUGAGACUCUAGAUAAGUGGGUAUGGCUGCACAGUGCACACAAACGUGGCUCACAAGUGCCAUUUUUCGUGUUAUGGCAAUGUAAUCCUACAAAGACAGGGCAAUGGAGGGGCGACAAAUACAAAGAAAUGAUGUCGUCAAUUGUGUGUUUGUCAUGUUUACACAUACUAGUUAGUUGCCAAACAAUGCUUACAAAUUGUCGGGAAUCCUCUCAGACGAAGUUCUAUACUCUCGCAUUGCCAUGAAAUUGACAUUCGAAGCACCAACAUGGUGUCGUACAGGUUCAAAUUAAGAAGAAUAAGAUGAAGAUAACAACUCCGACGACGACAAUUGCACACUCUGUGAAGGUCAAUUUGGAUUAAACCCUAAAUUCCCAAAAUGAUUCUCCAAUUUAUAAAAUGGAUUGAAAUUUGAAUGAACCCUAGAAUAAUUCAGCUUCCAAUGUUAAUCCCUAAUUCGAUAAAAUAAGAAUUCCAAUCCCAAUUUUGGUUUAAAACUUUCCUUUUUUUAUUUAAAAAAUUGAUUUAUUCACAUCAAUUAAAGUGUUUUUACUUCAGUUAGCCACAUGAAUAUAAGAAACUGACUCCAGCCUCCACGUCACACACACACUUAAGAACGGAACUAAAUUGAGAUUUUACGCAAAAAUAGAGACUUCCUGAAUAAUUAAACAUUGUUUUAAAUAAAUUAUUUUUUAAAUUAAAAUCAAAUUUAAUAUAAAUAUUAUAUUAAUAUUUUUAUUAAAAUUUAUAUUUUUAUUAAUUAGUGUUUUUAGAAUUAUUUUUAAAUCAAAGUUAAUUUCAAAUAUGAUAAAACUAAACAGUAAUAAUAGAAAUUUUAAGAUGACAAAAAUAAUGGAAUAAUAAUAAAAUUAAAUUUAAAAUUAAAAGUAUGCACUUAAGUUGGGUGACCACUUAAAAAUCAAAGAUAAAUUUAAUAUUGUUAUAUAGUUUUUAAUAUAUUUAAAAUUAUUAGGAUUAAUUUAACACUAAUUUAAUAAAUAUUAACUAAUAUAAAUAUAAUUUAAAUAAAAAUAAUAAUAUAAUAUUUAUAUAAAAUAUAAAUUUGAUUUCUAGAAAAUAAUAGAAUUAAUUUAUUUAAAAAAGUUAAAAAUAAAUUGAAUAAAAAUAAGACUAAAUCGAAUAUAAUAUAUCAUCAUACGUAAUACUAACACAUGAUGUGACAUAGUACUGUAGUCACGUGACAUUAUCUUAAUUUAACGCAGACUUUUUUUGUAAAUUAAAAAUUUUAAGAUUAUGAAAAAAAUUAUAAAUUAAUAUAUAACUUACAUAUUAAAGAGAAAUGUAAAAAUAAGUUAAUGAAACAACAUUAACAAAAAUCAUAAUUUGAUUAAAAAAACUAUCAUACUAAAAAAACUCAAUGAAAACACGGGUUAAAAUAAUAUUUAAACUUUAUUAUUAUGUAAUAUACACAAAAUAAAAAAAAUUAAUAUUUUUUUUAAUAAAAUUGUUAAACAACGAAUAACCUUAUCUUUUAGGUAAACUUGUUUUUUUAGUAUGUAGGUUAUAACAUACUUGAGAAAUAAGAAAAAUAAAUAUAUUAUUUUAAUGUUAUGAAAAUUUUAAUAUAAUUAUAAAUAAUAAUAAUAAUAAUAAUAAUAAUAAUAAUAAUAAUAAUAAUAAUAAUAGUAGUAGUAGUAGUAGUAGCUGUUGUCCCCUAUUGAAAAUGAAAUUAUUUUAUGGUUAGUUGUGUCAAUUGUUUAUGGUGUGUUGUUGUUGGUCUGAUGCAUGUAGUUAGUGUGUGUUAACAUAUAGGCUUAAUUGGUUGAUUGUUGUGUCAGAAGAAAACAAUAAAACUCUACAAUAUCCCCCUUGAAGGGAGCAGUCCCCCUCCACAUGAAUUGUUAACUGAAUAGGUUAAAAUACAGGCUUAAUUGUAACCUUCUUAUAAGAUUUUUCCCCAUUACCCAAGUAACUGUUAAUUAUACACUUCGGUUUCGUAAAAAUCGAAGCGUAUAAAAACACGAUGGUAGUUUUGUAAUAAUAGCCAAUGUAUACGCCUCGGUUCCCAUAUAACUGGUGCCUAAAGAGGAUAUUGCCUCGGUUCCUGAGUGACCCGAGGCAUAAACAGCCCCUUACUCCACCUUUUGCAAAUCAUUUUUCGUCUGACAUCUUUAGGAAGAUGAAUCUACCUCAGUUGCCCCCUACAAUCGGUGCCCAAAGCGUGUACUGCCUCGGUUAGGCGCCAACCGAAGCAUAUAACAUGAAUAUAUUUUCAAAAUUUGUAAUUAUAUAUUUCAUUUUUAAUUAUUUUCUAAAAGUUUAGGCAUCGGGUACGUUUGUAAGUGAGGCAGUAUGCCUCUGUUACCUCGGGUGAGAUUGGAACCGAAGCAGUAUAACGUUUUCACUUACCCUCUGUUUCGGUUGAACGGAUGAUAGAGACUGAGAAUGCCACCACCCCUUCUUCACGAUAUCGCCUUUCCUUCCUUCUGGUAAUCCGAGACUCUACAGCUUUGCCUGAUUCCUGUAUUUCCCUUUGUAAAACCGAUCGCGAUUGACCUACAAGAAACACUCUGACACUCAAGUCAGAUGGGUCUCAUAUUUAUAGACCUAAUUUUAAAUAAUGAUUAUUAAUAAGUAAUGAAUAACAUAUCAAUGUCUGUCAUUCAAUCAUUAAAACCAUUAUAUCUAAUUGCAUUAAUUAGCCUUUAACACCCAUCAGCGGCAACCCAAUAGAAACAUGUUCCACUUCACCAUCUUCACCAAUCGGCUCGCCCUCCUGGCGGACUACCCCUUCUACCGGGUACACUGGGUACACUACACCCUCACUUUUCAGAACUUACCCUUCUCACUGUUCAGAACUUACCCUUCUCACUAUUCCUCUUCUUCUCGCGCUCUUCUCGCACAAACUCUCUUUGCUUUCACUGUUCUCCAACCACCGUGAAACAGCACUGUCGCUCUAUGGCCACCACUCCGCCGCUCUGCCGCCACCAUUCCGUCGCACAAACUCUCUCUGCUUUCAAUCUUCUCGCACUGCCUCGUACCCUACUUCUCGCGCAACCCCUUUGCUAUCUCGCCGUCGUGCUCCCUCCUCACUUUUUCUACCUCCUUAACAUCAUUUGUACUUAGCUUCAGCUUUGUUUAAGGUUUAUCUCCUUAUUUAGUGGUUUUGUUAUUUGCUCUGAAAUUUUCUCGAUGAACUGACAGCUCCAUCGCUCCGUUGCUCUGUUAAAGUCGCUCUUCACAUUCGUCUUCUCAAGUACUAUCUCUCUUCUUCCUCCUUUUCUCUUUUCUAUUUUUAUUUCCAACUCUCUAUUUUUUUUACUAUAGUAGUAAUUAUUAGAAUUUGCUUUGUCAUUUUGCAGACGAUUAAUUAAUUAAUGGCGUCUUCUUCCUUUUUCGACACCCGGGUUUGCUUAAUUAUCAUUUGGAAGAUUCUUUCUUUCUUUUUGUGUAAAUGAAACUAUUAUUAUUAAUGGUUUAUGAUUCCUUUCUUGUUUAUUUAGCAUUGACACUUAGAAUUUGCUUCAAUCCUUUUCUAGAAAAAGAGAAUCAUAGAAGUCCAGUUUCAGAGGUUUCUUUCACUUACAAUUUGGGAUUGUUUGAUUAGAUAAACUUGUAAUUCGAAGGGAUUAUGGUGUUUUACUUUUGUACUUUAUUAUUAUUAUUAUUAGGGUUAAAUAUGUUUUUAGUCCCUCAAUUUUUGGGCAUUUUUAGUUUUAGUCUCUCUUUCAAAGUAAGGUACAAUUUAGUCCUCCAUCUUUAGGAAACUUUGGUUUUAGUCCUCAAAAACUAACACCGUUAAAAAUCUGCUGAUGUGUCUAACGUCUGUCCACGUGUGUUAACAAUUUUGCUGCCUCUCUCUUGACACGUGCGAUUGCUUUUUUGCUGACAUGUUUUACACUUAAAAUUUAGGGAUUGACAGAUUGAAAUUGAUGUUACAAAUAAGUUAGGGUUUGUUUUGUUGUUAAAGAGGUGGACAUCAUUUCUUACCAUCAAUGUCAUCAAUUCUUUGUCGUCCAUGUUUGUUUCUGAGAUGUUCUUGCUUGAGGCUUUCAGAUCAAUGGACUUCUUUUCUUCAAUCUCUUCUUCAUCCUUCAGUCUAUGAAGUUCCAAUUCAUGUUCCCGUAACUUGCCAAACAAGGUAGUCAUGUUCAUAGUUGUAAGAUCUUUGGAUUCAGAGAUUGUAGUGACUUUUGGUUGCCAAUUCCUGUUUAGACUUUUCAAAAUCUUGAUGGUGAUCUCCUCCUUAUCAAAUACUUUGCCAAGAGCCAUUAAAUGAUUUACAAUAUGAGUCAAUCGUUUCUGCACAUCAUAGAUGUUUUCUCCAGCCUUCAUUCUGAAUAAUUCAUACUCCUGUACCAAUGAGUUCUUUCUGGCUCUCUUGACUUCAUCCAUGCCUUCAUGAGUUACCUCUAGGACAUCCCACAUUUCCUUUACAGAUUUGCAUUGAGAUACCUUGGAAAAUUCAUCAAUUGUCAGUGCAGAGGCAAUUAUAUUUCUAGCUUUAACAUCAUACUGAGCUUUUCCAUUUUCAUCAACAGUCCACUCAGUAAAAGGUUUUAAAACAGUUUCUCUAUCUACAGUUUUUGUAGGCACAUAUGGACCAUUCAAAGUGGCAUACAAAAUUCCCUUAUCUUGCAAUUCAAGAAAGAUUUGUAUUCGAAUUUUCCAAAAAGGAUAAUUUUCACCAGCAAAUAGAGGUGAUCUGUUUGUUGAAGCACCUUCACCAAAAGUUUGAAAACAGGAAGUCAUCCCCGGGUUUUAUAGUCGAAUACGAUAAAAACAGAGUCGACUAAAUUUUUCAAAUAUUAUGAAAACCAGCUCUGGUGCCAAUUGUUGAGAAAACAGGUAGGCUUCUUUACACCAAGAGGGAGGGUGGUUGAAUUGGUGUUAUUUCAAAAACAAAAUCUUUUUGCAAUCUUUAUACAAAAGUAUAAAGCUUUUUGAUAUUUCUUGAAAUGCAAGUAAUGAAAAUUUCUAUGCAGCGGAAAAACGUAGUUGAUUGCUUAACAAGUAUAGUCGACUGAAAUAAAGAGUGCAGGGAUAGAGAAAAUCAAACAUUGGUUUUUAUACUGGUCCAGCCAACAAUGCCUACAUCCAGUGUCCUUCCAAUCCAAGAAGCAAAUGCACUAUAUAGGUUACGGUUUUUACAACAAGGAGUUUAUAGAAGACCUCAUGUCAAAAAUAUAAAUCUUCUCUCUAACCCAAAACCAAAAUAUAGUUGCAGAAACCAAAACCAGAAUUGCAGCAAAAAUCCCUUCUUCUACAAUCUGAACCCACGUCGAACAAUCCUCAACGUGUAACCAGCACUCUUCACAGGAUGUCAAGCCUUAACACAACAGACUUCACAGGUUGCCAAGCCUUCAAUCAACGCAACAGUCUUCACAGGAUGCCAAGCCUUCAAUGAUCAAUCAAGAAGCACCUUCUUUGUCCGGUUCUGAUCACACAGUCAGUGCAUAAGCCUUCUCCCUUUGAAUCUCUCUCAAGAUAGAUCAUCACCGUCUUCUUGGAGAAUUCUUGGAGCGGUUAAGACAGAGAAUUCAAUCUGAAACAAGAAAUGAAAAUGUCAGAUUCACAAAAGUCUCUGAACAACUCGUCUUCAGCCAAUUUAUAGUUUUCUGUUAAACAGAUUGUUUCUCAGUUGAAUAACCUACUAAUUCAGUCGAUUGUAUUAAUACAGUUAUAACAGACAAUCAACAUAGAGGCUCUCAGCCAACGAAAAUCAACACACAUUCAAUAUAGUUGACCAAGUCAUUAAUGCUUAACUAACUUUUAAAAAUAUAGCCUUUUGAGCGUGUAAGCAUAUCAAAAUUCCAAAACAGAUCAAUAAUACAGUCGAAUGUACACCGGACAAAGUCGAUUGACACAUGUAAAAACAUUUUGAAAUUCUUUUCAAUCCAAAACAUCACAAAGCAUUGGUUCUCAAAAUCUGUACAAAGGGUUUAGAAUAGUCGAAUCCAUUACAGGUGUAUUCGGUUGAACUAGAACUUUGUCACACAAUUAUAAGUUCAUAAACGUGCUUGUGAUUUUUCACAAAUGUGCCAUAAAAUGUGUACUGUUAUCAAAGCUAUUUUACUGCACAUUAUCAUACAAGCAUUUUCCACAAAUAUAUCACACAAUCAACAUAGGAACAUACAUCACGGUACAUCAUGUUCAGCAGGUGUUAAUACCCAAUUUCGUCCGGAUUAUUUUUCUAAUAUUUUUUUUGUCACAUAUUUAACUCCUUUUAUUAUUCAUUCACCUAUUUUCUUUUUUGUUUAUUUUUAUCACCUUCUUACUUAUUUUUGUUUUAUGGUAGUCAUUUUAUUUUAGUUUAUCUUUUUAUUUUAUUUAUUUUACUUUUUCUUUUCAAUGCUUAUUUUCCUUUAGUUUUUAUUUUAUCCUAUUCUCUUUUUAUUUCAUUUUGUUUUUUCCUUUACAAUUUUUAAUUUUAAGUUUUUUUAAUUUUCGUAUUUUUUAAGUUUUAUCUUUCUUAUAUUUUAUCUUGUUUAAAAAAAAGGAAAAGAAAAAGAAAAGGAAAAAAUAAGCCAUGUGUGCAAAACGACAAAGGAGAACGGUUUUUGGUUUAGAGGAGACAAAGUGGUUUGGGGGGAACAUGGCAGAGCAGAGAGCAAGAGAGCAAAUCGUUACUGAAAAAGUGGCAGGCGGAGGUGGCCAAAAGAGAGCAACGAUAACAGAGAGGGGGGAGAGCCCAUAGUAGCAAGGUUGGCAUUUCUCAUCCUUUUUUACAAAAAGAAUACGAGGCAGAAAGAGGUUCUUGGCGGCAUCAAGCACAAGAGGCGUGAGAGUAAUACUUGGUUGGAACCACGCCGAGGGAGGAGAAGGAGACCCAUCGGACAAGCAAGGUUGGCAUUGGCAAUCGAGUCUUCAAGAGGUAAGUAAUGGCUCCUUGUACUCUAUGUUCUUGCCCUUGAAUAUCUUACUGUUGCAUUGCCGCUAUUGCUUGCUGUGACUGUUACAGAGAUUUUUAUCGAUUAUGUUGUGUAUGUGUAUGAUCUUGUGACUUGAAUCCUUCCUUUUAUCGUUGUCCUUGGUAUCCUCUGUUUCUUCUUCGCCGCCUAUCCAAUGGGGUCAACAACUGAGCAAAAAAAACUAACCCAACCUCUUCGAGUCAUUCACCGACCCCAUCACCAUUUUCAUCACACUCCUUUUAACUACCGCGUAGCUAUCACUCUUCACACUAAUGGCCAAUCCACCAUUGUCGUGUGACCUCCAACCAAAACAAAGCCAAGAUUCAAAGCCAAAAAACAUUACGUGAUCACAACCAGAGACUAAAAUGUAAUUUCCUCUUUCAGUUUCUCAAAUCAGAAUCAGUUUUGUAGAAUUUUCUUCCACAGAUAGUUUUCCCAAACUUUGAUUCAUCUCAUCUGCAAAGAAAGGAUAACCCAGUUUCCCUGAGUUGUUCACGGUGCCUCUUCAUCGCAUUUCUCUUGGCCACAACGUCAUCACCAUUCUAUUCUCUUCCAGACCUAUACGUAUAACCCCUAACCCAGGGGAUACCACCACGGCUUCAUCCACCAUCACCUUCAAACCAUUCCAUUCACUCAUUAAAAUCUCCACUCCUUGAACUUUUCCUUAACGCCAUCACCCUCAAUCAGCAUUACACAAAGUCACAAAAAUAAAACCAAUAAAAAAAAUAAGAAGCAGAACCAGCCAAAUCAGAUUCAACCCCAAAUCCCCAUCAUUCCCAUUCGAACCCAUUCAGAAACAAAACAGUAGAAGUGGCUGGCUUGGCUUUGCCGGCGGUGAGGAACCACCAUAGGAAAUAGGCUUUCACAUCCACUUUUUUCCUAACUUGCAACAACGGAACCCCCAAUCGGAUCUCAUCUAUGGUGACUGUCAACUAGGGAAGAGGAAGAUCACUCAAUCUUGGUUUCCUAAAUCUCUUAUGUGUGAGGGUCGCGGUGAGGGAGUUUUGGUUGAGGGAGAUUUUCGGUUCAUGGCUGGCGCUGCUGUCACCGGUGGUGGCCUCGUGGAGCGAUCGCGGGCGUUUUGAGAGCGGCGGUGGUUCGCGACGGUGGCUGGCCGAAGGGGAGCGACAGCUUGUGUCGUCCAAGGCUAAAAAACCCCAGCCCUAGGCUGGGCUGAGAGACGUGCGAUGAUGGUGUUCACGUCGGAUGUCGCUGCAGCGCGGAGGCUUUGACGUUUUGGAAGGUGGUCGCCGGCGACACUUUCUACGGCGGAGCAGUGACCGGUUAGGGCAGAGGAUGGCGGCGCCUCCGCCUGGGGAAGGAGAGCUCGAGGGUGUUGGGAGGGACUCUCUGUCUCAGAUGUGAGUGUGUGAAAAAAUGAAAUGAGGAAAGUUGGAACCCCUACAAGGUUUCUGACCUAGGACCUUGGGCCGGCCUGGGCUGAAAAAUGGUUUUGCUUCUGCACCCCCAUGGCUACUAAUUGGCGCCACUGCAUAAUGGGUUUGAGCUCAUUCGUUCUCUGCACCCCCUUUGCUUCCAUCCGCAACCCCCAUCUCUUGGGGCUUAAGCCCAUUCGGCCAAACAAAAAGUUCUCCCUUGCACAACCCCUUGUUCAUAUUUACACCCCCUUUUCCAUUUGGGCUUAGGCCCAAUCCGUCUUUAGAAGUGAGUUAGGUUUAUGUUACCCUUCUUUUCUAUUUUUACCACCCUCUUCCAUUUGGGCUUUGGCCCAAUUUGAUUAUUUUGUUUUACUUGUCAUUUUGUCCCUUUAGUUUAUUUUAUCAUUAUUUUUAUUCUUUUCUUUAAUUUUUUACCCUUUGUUUUUAUUUAUUAAUUUACUUGCUUAUUUCAUUUUUAUCUUUACUUUCAUUUUAUUUAGUUAUUUCCUAGUUAUUUCUAUUUUUCUACUUAUUUGUUUAUUUAUUUAUCUCGUUUUAUCUACUUUGAAAUAAAAAAAAACAAAAAUAUUUUAAAAGGUUUAAGCACACGUGCGGCCAUUCGCGUCAGCCUUGUGUUAAAACCUUUUCCUCCUUCUUAAAAAAAAAAAACAAAAAUAUUUUAAAAGGUUUAAGCACACGUGCGACCAUUCGCGUCAGCCUUGUGUUAAAACCUUUUCCUCCUUCUUUCAAAAAAUACAAAAAUAUUUUAAAAGGUUUAAGCACACGUGCGACCAUUCGCGUCAGCCUUGUGUUAAAACCUUUUCCUCCUUCUUUCAAAAAAUACAAAAAUAUUUUAAAAGGUUUAAGCACANGUGCGACCAUUCGCGUCAGCCUUGUGNUAAAACCUUUUCCUCCUUCUUUCAAAAANNACAAAAAUAUUUUAAAAGGUUUAAGCACACGUGCGACCAUCCGCGUCAGCCUUGUGUCGAAAACCUUUUUCUUCUUCUUUCAAAAAAAAUCAACAAAAAAUAUAAAACAUCGUGUUUUCAAACAAUCACCACCCGAUCUAAAGAACUACGUAACCCUGAUUUCUCAGUCCAACUGAGAAUACAUAGGAGCAAGGUCAAUCCUUGUCGGGCACAAAAAACACAAAAAAUAUUUUGUUUUCUUUAGAGUUUUAUUUUUUUAGGAGAAAUUAAACAUUUUGCAAACCACAUCAAAUUCGCGUAUUUAGUUAAAGGUACUGCCUUAGGGCAGGCGUUGUGGGGGUGCUAACACCUUCCCNACACGUAACCGACUCCCGAACCCAAUCUUUGGUUUUCGUGGACCUUGCUUUAUCAUUUUAUGGUUUUUCCGUAGUUUUCCAGAGUAAACUAUGGUGGCGACUCCAAAAACUUUUCAAAUGUUUUCUUUUUUGGAUCGUCGUCAUCCCGUCGCGAUUUUUUCCGGUUGCGACAGAUGGCGAACAUGCAAUACAACAACAUGUGUACUGUUAUUAAGCAUUAUGUUGUCAUCAUCAAAAACUAGAUUGAUAUAGAGUUUGUGUUGUCAACCAUCUCAACGGAAAGAACAAACACCACUUAGUUAUUUUCUGAAUAAUAUGCAAAUUAAAAAGAUAUAAAUGUGUUUGAUUUCUAAAAUUUAGGUUAACAUUGUUUUAUCUCCUAAAUUUAAAAUAAAUGGUUAAAGAAAGUAUCUGAAAUUUUAAAAAUUUGUUUUAAUAUCUUUAAUCUUAAACUCCUAUUAUGCAAAUAUUAGCAAAAAUGAAUAUUUUAAAAAGUAAACAUAUAAGCUGUUUGAUGAAAAAAAAAAUUAAAAUAGAAAAGUCUACAAGAAAGUAUGGGUAAUAAAACAUUAUAUAAUUACAGAUCAAGUAUCAACCUGAAAAUUCUUUCAUUUCAUAAAUUAAUAUGAGAAGAUAAGUACAUUUCAAGGUGACCUUUUCCCCAAAAUUAAUAAGAGACUACAAAAGGAGUUACAUAACACAAAAUAUUGGAUACCUAGGUAUGACAUUUAGUCUUUUACUUAUGAAUUGUUAGUUUUGAUGCAUUUAGUGUAUACUUACCAAUUGUUUAUGACUUUGUAGUUGGUCGGGACUUCAAAUAUUUAAGGUCAGACACACCUCCAACAUUGCUGAAAAGUUUGUGGUUGACAUGGAUAAAAGAAAGUGUAGCUGCAGAAAAUGGACUUUAAUGGCAAUCUCUUGUUGUCAUGCACUAACAACCCUGAGAUUUUUAAACAUCAAUGGAGAAGACUACAUCAUACAUUGGUUUAGAAGGUCAACCUAUGAAGAAACUUGCAUUCCAAUCACAUUCCCUGUCAACGGACCUCAUUUGUGGCAAAGGACUUCAAAUCCUGAUAUUUUGCCUCGAACUAAAAGGGUUUUGCCAGGUAGACCAAAAAAGAAAAGAAGACUAGAGCCUUGGGAGCAAAAGAAGGAUGAUACACAACUUAGAAAAAACGGAACCCAUAAGAGAUUUGGGAUAUGCAGACAACUUGGGCAUAUAAGAACUAAUUGCCCACAACCAAGUCAAACACAAGAGCAGGAACCUACACCAAACCCAACUCAAUCAAGUCAGAUUACUGAAACCCAGCUUGAAGAACCCCAAAGUCAGUCAACUACAACAAUACUUUAGAAGUCAUAAAAACUUAUUAAUGUCCACAUUCGUGGUUAUUUUGGAAGCCAUCUAAAUACAAACUUUAAUAUGUAUUUUGCACUUUGAAUAUUGUUUUGUGUUCUCUGUUGUUAAUGUCCAUAUUGAUGGUUAUCAUAUUGUUUUGGGUUUCUGUUGAAGAACAACCUUGACUUCAAUAUUAUUGGAAAAACAAUUUAUGAUUUUAAUGUAUUGAGAUCAAUAUUAAUGUAACGACAAUUUCUGAGAUUAUGAAUCAUUUCAAUGUCAUUUAUAGCCCAAUACGAGUUCAUCAAUAUCACUAACAUUGUAUAUUGACACCAUAAUUUCCAAAUUUUUCAUUCAUUUAAUAACAAACAAAGAUUACAAUAUACCCAAGUUCUUCACUUCCAAAAUGUCACUAAUACAACACUUCAUGGAAUUUUAAACAUAACACCAACAAGGAUGAUGUUAAUUAACCCCAUCAAACCUAGCAUCCAUAUUAACACCUUUUUUCCUUCUGACCAACCAAAACUGAUUUUUCCAGAUUAAUAAUCUUUCUCCUUUGUCAUGCAAUUAUACUAUCCUUUCAUCUACAUUAUCUUCAUUGCGCCAUUUAAAAAAAGAAAUUACAUCCUCACAAUUCUUCAUUUCAACUCCACUAUUGAAAAUGUGCAACCAUAAACAUUUCAUUAAGCAUCAAAAAAAUGUAUCUAGAUUAAAAACUAAAACAACUUAACAAACCUUGAAAUUAGGGCACCCCCAAAUUGUCUCUCCCUCGUUCUUCACAGUUUUUGUCACUCUCAAUACAACAACCUCUCCAUAAUAACAUAUGUGGGUGCCAACCAAACCUCUGGUUGAAGCACCACGACAACUCCCCUAUGAGCAAAUCGAACACUGAUUCAACGCAUUGCCAAGCGUAAGGACAAAAAUCCACUUCAUCCACUGGAAAAAGCAACCCGACUCCAAACCGCAAUAAUGAAUAAUACCCCAAAUAAAAACAAAGAAACCUAACCAUAGAAGAGAAGAACAACACUCCUAAAGAUAGAAGAAGACACUGUAUUAGAAAGAAGAAGAAGACUUCGAUUACCUCACCUACCUAGAAUCCUUCAUUAAAGAGCUCAACUUAGGACAAAAAUCGUAUAACAUUUUUUUUUCUAAUCAAACCAUAUUUUCAUACAUGACAUCCUUUAAAAUUUCCUUUUGCCAUGUCAGUUCAAUCUUUUGCCACAUCACCGAUCAUUUAACUCUAUUUUUACUAAUUUAAUAGAGGGAAUUUAAUUGAUGUAAUUAUACAAUAUUGUAACUCAAUAAAAAAAAUUAAACACAAAUACCAACGAGAUACUAAAUACCGAAUUUGGAAACCAAGGAAUUAAGCCUUAAUUUAAUUCAUUUUAUAUAUAGUCAAGAAUGAGCAAAACUAAAUUUUUUAGGAACUUGUAACUUUUAUAGGUUGAGACUCGAAUUAUUUAUAUUUUGAUGAUGUCUAAAUUUAAACUUCACUUAAGAAAGUUGUAUAUUUAAACAUGGGUGUAAUCGAGUUUGUUAGUUUAGAACAGGAGACACAGUGUUGAACCCAAAACCCAAGACCCAAGGUUGAAACUUUGCUACACGCAGAGGGAGUGCAAGAGAAUGAUGAAUGUUAGGAUGAAGAGAGAACUGACAAGCUUAAUAAAGACUCCAAUAGAGAGACGGUGGUGUAAUGGAUUGCGCUGUUUCAGCUCUGUUUCUUCGAAUUGGAAGGGCGUCAUCCCCACUCUUCUUCAGCCCAGAGUUCUGCUGUACGACGCCGUUUCCCUCUUCUGCCACCGAGGUAUUCAUUCUUCACAGUCAUUACUCUCUAUUCACUUCAUGGGGUUUCGUGUUUCGUGUGAUCCAACUCGUGGGGUGUGUUUUUGCUCGUUAGCUGCCUUGGUUAGAAUAAAAAUCCCGCCUUUCGUAUUGGGGAUACUCUUAGAACACGAAAAUUUGGGAAAGAUUAAUAUAUCUAACGUUCAAGAAAAUUAACUAAGCAUUCUGCUAGGUUGGUCUACGUUUUGAAUUGAUUAUAGGGUCUCGAUUUCCUUGUGAUUCUCGAAGUUGAAGGAAAUUGUAUGCAGACAAAUGCAUUUGAUGUGACCGCAAUUGAAGUUUCGGAGGAUCCCAAAAUCUUGACAUUGCAGUAUAAAUCACGUCCAAGAUUUCUGUCGCUGACUGUUCUUUAAAAAAUUGAGCACAUGCCACAAAUAUUCCAAUUCUUUUUGGAAUUUCAUCGCGUUCCUGUGAGUUUAUUUUUUUGUCUCAGUGUGAGGUGGAUUUUUGUUUGUAUGUUUUAUGGUUUUUAUUAGUCUGGAGUUUUCAGUUCUUUGCUUCUUUAUUGAAUGCUAAAUGGUCUCUCUUGUAUCUUGUGUGUAAUGAUUUAGUUUAAUUUAUUCAGAUUCCUUGCGCUCAAAUAGAGACAAAUUGGUAGGAGUAUUCUUAGCUCAGGCGUUGAAUUGAAGAAUGCAGUUUACUUUAAUUGGUAUCAGACAUAAUCCAUGAUAGAGGACAAUUUGAAUAUCCCAUGUAAUAGGGAUUGAAGAUGAUAAGACGAUGUCGGAGCCAUUGCUGACCCUUGUUUGUUCAUCCUUUGAACAUUUGCAUUGUUUUAUUAGGAUCUGAUAAUCAAUUCCAACUUAUCGGUGAGUUUUCAACUAAGCUAUUUCACUUUAUGGGGACAUUGUCUUGAAAAGACUAGGGAAUAGUUGUUGGAAAGUCUCUUUAAUUGCUAUCACCCCUAGCCCUGUCUUAGUUGUGGCCUCUUUGAGAGUUGCCUUUGUUGCAACUUCAAGGGUGAUGGUUUAGCCUCACAUCAACUCGUAACAUGACUAAAGUAGAAUAUAUAAAUGCAGUGCAGAGCUCAAGUUAGAAGUGAAAUUUGUGGAGUUGAGUUAGGUGUAAACCUAAUUUCCAAGAAUACUUUAUUGAGGUUAUUUUUAGCUGUAGGAAAGAAACUAUCUCUAUAAGAUAGACUUGGUGAAACUAAAGGUUAUAAAAUUAGUAAUUGGCAUUUUGGUUGAUGUUUUUAAAAUCUCAUAGCUGUGAUAAUUCUGUGUUGACAGGAGUAAAAUGGGUAAUCAGAGCAGAUAAGUACAAACGGAUCAAAUUCUGCUGUGUUCAGUCUGAUGCCGCUGAGCCCUAUUUGAGAGCUUGCGGUCUUGACCGAGAGGAUGUCAUACGUCGAAUGUUGUUUGUUGAAGGCCUGAAUGAAUAUUCUCAGGGAUCCACUGGUUAGAAUGCUCUCACUUAUUUAGUUAACUUCAAUGGUUUUUCACAUUCUUUAGCCUAUCUAUGUUACUACAUUACUGUAGUUUUGGCGAACAUCUGUGCAUAUAAAGUUUUAGCAUUAGUCCACAUCUGUAGUAACAUUGUAAGGACCAAUAUAAGAUCUGCUUUGUAUCUUAUGUUUUUAGGUCUUUUCACACGGAUACUAAAUAUUACUAAUUCAAGUUAGCAUUGAUAAGUUUCGUACUUUAUUGAAUUGAUAAGUCCAUAUUCUGUUGUAUGAUGAAUGUCACUCUCAAUCUGAAUUAAGAAUGACGUUGCCAAAAGCAUCUGAAUCUGGAUCAUGUUUAGAGCAAAUUCUGGAAUAAAUAUUUAGACUAAUACUUCACCACAGUGCUAUUUCUGUGUGAUUUUGUGUUUUGUGUCAAUCUCAUUGAUUUAUGAUGUGCAGCUGCAUUGCGAGUUCUGUCAUACUUACCGCGACCUUACUCUGCAUUAAGCUCACUCUGGGUGAUUCCUACUCCUCUCAGGGAUGCUGUCUAUGAUUAUGCAGCAAAACAAAGAUAUGAAUGGUUAGGUAGGGCUCAAGAUUAUUUGGUUUUGCGAGAGAAAGAUCUGCUUGAGCGUUUCAUUGAUAGGGAAGAACUGAUGAGACGAGCUCAGGAUUUGGAGUUUUAGCCACAGUUUACACUUACAACUUUUUUCUUCUGUUAUCAGCCACAAUUUACACUUACAACUUACAACUUUUUUCUUUUGUUAUCUUGUACAAUGGUAGAUUGUAAAUUUGAAUUGCUUUAUGUUCAGAUUACACGUGGGAUUUAGAUUAAAUGUCAUUUGUCAUGAGACCAUCCUCCCUUUCCACAAGCGCAAUGCUCUAACUCUUAACACCACCCCAUCCUUUCCUACAAAGGGUUUCUUCCCACACCACCAAACUUUCUCUUAAUGUCUAAACUAUCCUUCUUACAUGGGUCAAUUUUUUUUCUCUCCUAUGAUUACUCCACCCACCUACCACUCACUUUUUUAAAUUUAAAAUCCAAUUUAAGAAUUCAUUGAAUUUUAAAAUCUUAUGGUUUAGUUUAGGAAUUCAUCAUAUUUUAAAAUCCGGUUUAUAAACACAUCGAUUUCGAUUUUGAAACUAACUAGAUUUCAAAAUUCGAUUGAGAAACUUAUUCAAUUAAAGAAUUCCCAAGAUUUUGAUAUUAAUCAGAUUUUAAAAUUCAGUUAAGAAAUUAAUUUAUUAGAUCUCAAAAUAUGAUUAAGGAACUUAUUAAAUUUUAAAAUUCGUUAAAAGUUUUCAUAUUUUGAAAUUUGAUAGACAUUUUUCUCUCAUUUCGAAAUUUAAUAAACACUUCUCUUGGAUUUUAAAAUUCAUUUUUUUCGGAUUUCGAAUGAACAUUUAAUAUAGAUUUCAAAAUCUUAUUUUCAUACCUCUCUUCAAUUGAAAACAUAAGCGUUGUGUUACGGUUUAAUAUCUAUUCAUUCCCUCUUCAUAGGUAAUGUUUAAUAUAAAUUGAAAUAAAUAAUUUUAUUGUCUUUGGUCAUGUUGUGUUACUGUUUAAUAUUUAUUCGUUCCCUCUUCGUAAGUAGUGUUUAAUAUAAAUUGAAAUAAAUAAUUUUAUUGUUUUCGGGUAUGCUAAUGUGUUGAUCGGUUUGUUCUUUAUUGUUUUUAUGGUCAUCUCGGCCACUUUGUUUCUUCGGCCACCUUGACCAACCUCAAUCUUGAGUAUUUUAAGUUUAUUCCUUUCCAUCAUGUCAUGCUUGAAGUGUUUGAUAAAGUGAUUGAUAGUUCUUCUUUCUGUGUGUCUCAAACUAUCCGAUAAACUAGAGAGUUGACAAGUCCUUAGACUUCUAAAUGGCGGAAACUAUGCUUUCGAAAUUAUUUGUUAAUGAUUUUAGGAUUUUCUCCAUAACCCAUUUGGCUGGCAACUGUUUUCCAUUCCUCUCUAUCUCCAUUCCUGCCGAGUUGAUUUACCACUUUCUCACAUUUUUUAUCUUCCAUUUUCCAAGUUUUCAAACUCUUCUAUGAGAGUUUAAAGUCAGACUUGUAUUUGUGUUUGGUGGGGUUUAUUAUUGCCGUUAGUUUAUUUUGUUUUAAUUUCAUUGAACUCCUUUAUUUUUCUACAAAUGUUUCUUUUUUUUCAUUUGAAAUAAUUUUUUUAAUUGUUGUGAUUAAUAUAUUCUUAUUAAGUUUUACAUUGGUAUUAUUGAAGAAGAAGUGAACUGCAUUAAAGUUAUAACAAAAUAAGUAAAAAUAAGUGCUUGAAAUUACCUUCUAGAAUUGUAAACGUAUAAAACAAAUAUGUUAAAAACUAUUAACACAAAAGUUGCUUUCAGGUAUGUAUUCAAAAGUGAUUUUUGUUAACACUAAAAGAAGUUAUUUCAUGCAUUGAACAACAAAGGCAACACAUAAAUGCACCUUGGUAAUUAAAUCAAGGUGAAAUUCUAUAACUUGUUAUAAAGAACUAAAGAGAGAAAAAUAUAUGUAAUGAAGAUGAGGUGUACAAUUUUAGAUAAUAAUAAAAAGUAGAGAGCAAAACUGAAAUUCAAUCAAUAAUAAGAUUUGUUUCUUAUUUGUAUAAUCUAAUAAAUUUAUAAGUUCAUAGAUUUUUUUGAAAAUCAAAAUCAUUGUAUUUGUAAUUAUUAACAUUGUGUAGUUAUGCUAAAAUCAUGUCAGUGAAAAAAUGUUUUUCAAAUGAGACACUUUGCUAUCGUAUUAACAUUUAACAAUUUCAACAAUACAAACAUAAAAUUAAAUCAUCCAAAUAUUAUAAAAAUAAAAAUAAAUUACAGAAAAUACAAUCAUUAAUAUAACAAUACUCAGAAAAUGACAAUGGACUCUAAUCACAUUAAGUAUAAACCUGCAAUAGCAAAAUCAUUCAAAAACAGAGGUAAAAUCUAUUCAAACAAAUUUUGAAUGACUAAAGAAAGCUAGAAAUCAACUUAAAACUUACAAUUUUCAAGAAACUGAAAAUUUCACUACUCAAAACCUAUCAAAACACUCUAAUACUAGGCUAAACAAGCUAAAAGUAAAAACUGAACUAAAACAGAAAGAAACUUGUAAAGAAACUUUUUAAACUAAAGAUUCUAAAAGAACACUUGAGAAGUCACUAAUUCUAAAAGAUUCUAAAACUCACUAAUGAAAGCCUAAAAAGUACACUAAAACUUGUAUAGAAAUGAUAUGUGGAACUGUUAAGAGACUUUCUAAACAACUUUUAAAUUGUAAAAGAAAAGUAAAAACAAGUCAAAGUACAGAAACAGCAAGAAAGGCAAAACCUGACUAUUAAGCAAAGCACCUAUAAUCGCACUUAAAAACAUGAACCAAGGCUAGCACUAUGCUACAAUGACUCAAAAAAUUUAUUCCUAAGCUAUCUAAACAGAACACUCACCCUCUAAACAAAUACAACAAAUGCAUACUAAACCAAGUAAAAACUGAAACUGCACUAAGUAGCUAAUAAAACUGGAAUGUAAGUAUCUAGACAAGUUUAAAAUGCUAAAAGACUAAAAAAAAACUAAACUAACUACUCAAAUUGACUUGGAAAUCAAAAUCUGUCUAUAGGAACCUAUGAAUACACUAUUUGACAGCAAAUUUAAACAUAAGAGCAAGCUAAUCUAAUACAGUAGCUAAAAUUCAUCUAACCUAUUCCCUACAAGUUUAAAAUACUAAAAGAAGAUUAGAAUUAAAGCUAUUUAUCAAAAAUUAUGCAGAAUUAAAAAUACAGCUUAUUCACUAAAAUCUGUCUACUCUAUUAUCCUCUCAUGAAUUAAAACUACUGAAUUGUCAUUUUCGAAAUUAAACUGCCCCUACCACAUAAGUCCAAAAAUUAAGUUCUUGCACUCAAAUUAAAGAUAAUUGAGUCAAGAAUCUAAUGCAAAUAGAAUCAACUCAAUUGGAUCACUGUGGAGAAAGCUAUGGACCAGACAUGCAGAAGAGGUCAAAGCUGUCAGCAUUUAGUUUUACACUAAAAACCUAUCUAAAAAAACUAUCAAAACAGAGAAUUCACGAUCUAAGCAAGUUCUAAAUGAUAACAGAACACUAGAAACUAGUCUAACUAAUACAAACAAAAAAAACUACAAAAAUUCACUAUAAAAACCUAAGAAAAGUAUACUACACUAGCCUAAAUAAAAUUGUACUAAACCAGUAACUAAUAUUGCAAUGCAGAAGUCUAAACAAAUUUCAAAUGGCAAAAAAAAGCUAACAAUCAAUUAAAAAACUACAUAUCUACAAAGACUCAAAAACUCACUAUUGAGAACCUAAAAAAUAUGCUAAACCUAAACUCAAAUCUGAAAAAUGCACUAUAAUAGUAAAGAGAAAUGUUUUGCUCCAUAGAGGAUUCCUGGUCCUACUGAAAUGUUAGAAAAUAGAAAAUUCUUAUUAUUUAACCUUACAUUAAGAGAUUAGUUGGAAAAUUGCUAAAACACCAGAAACACUGAAGAUGGGAAACUACAACAACUACUGUUUUUCAUAAUUACAAGUUCACAACCACCUCCGGACAUAAGAUCAAGUCAAAUCUAAGAUCCACUUAAUUUUGGAUAGAUUUUCUUCUUUUGGCCUUGUUUGAAAGUUUAGAUCUAUAUUUUUCUUUUGAAUUUGAUAGAAAUAUUUUAUUUGGAUGAUGAAGAAUGAUCAGUAUCAAGAACAGACUUGAAUUCCCUCUAAGUUGUUAAAACCAAACAAUAACUAAUUCAUGAGCCAAACCUUGUUAUAUUAAACUAUGAGGUCCAAUAAUAAUAUAUGAACACUGCAAUUACAUUUGACAAACCUUAUUAUAUUAAACUUCAUUCUGAACUUAAAUGAAAGGAAGAAGUGUUGAAAUCUUGGAACAUGCCUGUGGGAAGCUUCAAUUCUUGGCUCUCAAAGUGACCAGAGUUCUGAUUAAAUGAAACAAUACAUAUAUCUCAGUUUUUGAAAAUCUGAAAUUUGCAUAUAUUUCCUCUCCCUUUUAAUGUCAUCAAUUAAAAUCAUUACUCUUAAACAAAAAACGAAAUAAUUUCAAAUCUUAUAUUCUUGUAUUAUCUCAUUUUACUCGUAAUUAGACUUGUGCUUAAAUUCCUAACAUUUUCUUCAAAGUGAAAUCUGCAAUAUUUUUGUCUUUUUCUUUCAAUAGAUUUGUGGUUCUGUGGAUAGACUGUUAAAUCCUCAGAACUAGAUGCAUCAGUAUAACUAGUAAAAAAAUCUGCAAUUUUUCUUUUUGUCUUGUUUUCUCCAGACGAUGUUGGAAACUACUUCACUGAAUGAACUAUUUCUUAUGAUAACUUUGUAAGAAUUAUAGACAUUCAUUUGAAAGAAGUUCAUAAACCGAGUGCCAAUAAUAUAUUAACACAAAUUUGAGUAUUAUUGAACAUGUUGAAAAUAUGGGUAUUACUAAAUCUCAUGUUUGAUAAUUGAUACUAAAUUAAUUUAUAAUAUAUUUUUAAUCAUAUUUUAAAUCCACAUGAUUCUUAAGGAACUAAAAAUAAUAAAUAAAUAAAGAUUAAAUAGUAAUUGAGUUUUCUAAAUUUUAUGUAUAAAAGAAGAGGGUAAAAUGUACUCAUGUUCAACGAAAUAAAAUGUGUACGUUGUGAUUCUUCAAUAACCACAUAACAUAGUUUAACAAUUAAGUUCCCACAAAGAGAGACUGUUGUUAACAAAUUGCUCAUCUAAACAAAAGUUCAAAAUAAAAUUAUUCAAAAUAAAAUUAAGCAAUUAAAUCCAAAUUAAGUUUCCAAUAUAUCUUUAGUGAGAUGGCAGAAAUACAAACAUAGGAGAUGUUUGGCUUAAAACAAAGGUGAUAAUGCUCGAGAAAAAUAGAAGCAAACUACAAACUGCUUUGAGUGGGAUGCACCAGGCCCUUGCAAGAGUGCAAAACAAAGGCGAUGCAUAAGAAACCAAGUAGCAAGCUACUUUGAUGGUUCUCUCCCUCAAAAAAUUAAUUUAAUAUCGUGUGAACUAAUAGUUCACAUAUCAGAUAUUAAACUGAUAAGAACAGAUACUACACUUGAUCUUAGCCAAAAGGCCGAGAAAGGUAUGCUUUGACAAGNAAAAGUGUUCAAUAUUUAUAUCUCAAUCUUCAUCUACUUGUCAGUGUUCUGACAAGUGUGGGACUUCGUAAAUGGAGUCAUAUGCUCCCAAAAUCACCACAUCAGUAACAGACUUUGAAAUCAGCAAUUGAGUUCAUGGCAUGUGAUAAAACUUGAAACUACUCGGUCAUUCCAAUUUUCUUUUUACUAGAUAUAACCAACCAUGUUACUUCUUCUCUAAUGGCAC